UUUCCACAUUGGCAAGCCUCCAUUUCCCUCUACUGUAAGAACCUCGUCGCUUUUCCACAUUGCCAAUGUGGAGUACAGGGGCAAGAGGGACCUUGAGAAUGAUGGGAUCUUGGCAGCAAAGUGUUUUGUCCAAACACCACCCGCAUUUUUCGGACCACCACCAGAAUCAUCAUCCAUUAGCCACAUUUCAAAGGGUGGUGUAUCACCAUCUUCAAAGGUAUUACAAUUCAAGCGAAAGAGAGCGAUGGAUUCAUUCCACACCUUAAGACGCAUUUCAAUACCAAAUCCUUCGAAAUUGUUGAACUCUACCAUCUCAUGUGGUAACAGUAUGUCAUGAAACACCUCACGACUCAUGUCAAACCAAACGAUCACUCGCCUAAUUUUUUCUUGCUCGGGAUAGGUGACAUCAUAGCUAUCGGCAAAUUCCUUUUGUUGCUCACUUCCUAUCCAAUAACACAUCCCCUUGAAGUACACCUGAAAAGUUUCAGGCCAAAGGAAAGUAGUUUCCGUUUCUAAAGAAUAAGGCUCGAUCUCCCUCCAAGAAUUAGUUCCUAGGGUAUACACUACUACCUUGGGAGGAUGAAUAAUCAAAUGUUCUGUGCCGCCAUGCAAUUCUGAACCAGAAAAUCCAAUUUUGACAACUUUGUAAUCUUUAGAUUUAGGAUCAUAGCCUAAUCCCAAAACAUCGUUGAACCGAUUUGUUAGUGGCAUGUAAGGCAUAUCCAACCACCAAGGAUGAGGAUCCCUAAAGGAUGCUUCGUCGAACCAAUCUGGACUGUAUGUCUCCGAGGGAAGGACCCUGAAUUCCUGAAUUGCCGGAUUCCACAAAAGCACCUUAGUAGAAUUAGGACGAGCUAGACAAAUGAUCCCAUCACAAUGACCUAUAACAUGAAAUGAUUGAUCAUCUCCAAUCUCCAGACUCAUAGAAAGAGGAAUAUUGACGUCCUCGAUCCCAGAAAGAGUGCUACACUUGUGCACACCACCAUCGUCAUCAUCAACAAUGACAUUGUCAAAAGUAAGUACUGAGAAUACGGAUUGAAAUUUGUCCCCAUUUGGGUCCUCCGUAGAAGGGACUAACAUUCGCUUCAGAAGGACACGAGUGGACUGAUCGUCCAGCAAGGAAUGGGAGAGGUGCUUGUCGACGAACCUGGGGUCGUUGAUGAGAGCAUGCCACCAUUUAGCGACGCGCACUUGAAUCGCAUCAGAGAUUUCGGAGGCAGAGUUGACAGAAUAUUCACCAACAAAUCUUGUCCGAUUUUGGAUGUUUGUUUCGUCAUUUGUGCAAUGUCAAUUAUGGACCUCACCCUUGUUCUACGAUACACACAAAGACCAACACACAACAAGAUCAGAAGAUUCCACAAUUACACAUUCUCUCUAAUUAAGCAUAUUCUCAAAAGCUCAUCAUCAUCUGGCAUUGCUAUUUCUUUGUUAAAAAUAAAAAAAAAACUCAUUGAUACAUUCAAAAAUUUAGCCCUACUGAAAAUGCCAAUUGAAAUUCAAAAGCGAAAUAAGAAUCGAAGCAAAAAAAGUAUCCUUCUUUCAUUUAAAAAAAAAAUAUAAAAACUGAAAUUGAAUAAUAAAAAGUUAGAAAUGAGGUUACCUUGUUGUAGACUAGGCAGUAGGAAGAGGAAGAGACCGAAGCAGAAGCAGCGCUGUGAGUGAGAGGGAAAGGGGCAGACUCGGCGCAGAAAAUGUAUUUUCUGCGUUUUGUUCGUGCAGCUGCGUGCGGUAAUGCGAUGGCAGAGAGGGGUUUUUAUUUUGAUUCUUGUGCGACCGUUUUUCAACACCCUCCCAAUUUUACGAACUUACCCUCCCAAAUUCGGCUGCAGUUUGCUGUUCUCUUAACUUUUUAACAGAUGUCUAUAAACUUAACUUUUAAUUUAACGGUGCUAUCUUUUCAAAAGGACUAAUAUAACAAAUAAAAAGAAAAAUAAAAGAAAAAACAAAAGGUGCCUAACUCUCCACCUACCCCAAUUACGCGCUAUUUAAUUUGGUGUUAUCACUGUUUAAUUUAACGAUGUUAUCUUUUAAGGGAUGCUGUUGUUUUUUUUUAAUUUUUAAUUUUUUUUAAAUGUUAACACUGUUGAAUUUGGUAUUAAGUUGAAGCAUGUGUCACUAAGUUAGAAAGAAGACAUGACGAAGACACUAGUUUAUGGACAUCAGACUCCUGGGCCUCAAUUUGUAAAUCAGAUUAAUAGUCUCCGUGGUGAUAGAGUAUUCGGAGAAAGUCUAUGUAGUAAAAAGAUUGCCGAGCUCUUCCAGUGGCUCUACUCUAAGCCCAGCCGUGAUGCCUGCUCCCUCGUUUUGCAAGCGCUAGCUCGCCUUCGAGUGCCUCAGCAGCACCGCCCUUUGCAUUGGCGCCACGGGUAGCCCGGACCUUGUCGUCGGCCUCCUCGCUGCAAAUUCCACAACGUCCGCGCGAUUCACAUUGACGAGCACCUUAACCUUUCAUCGAUGAGGCUGCAUUCUGCCAAUGGCUUUGACGACGACGUGCUUGAUUUGAACACUACCCAAACUUUUUUGUUUUUGAACAAAUGAUAUUAUCUACACACCAGUGAUGAUUACAACCACCGGAGUUUAUCUUUUAUUGACCCUAAAAACUAUUUGGGCCUAAACACCUUCCCAUGUGUGCCUUUUAGCCACCAACAUAAUCCAUCAGCUAGCUUGAUUUGCCCUUCAUAGUAGUUGUUUUUGUUGUUUAGUUAAGGAUUUCUAGAAAUCAGAAACUUUUGUUUUUUUUUGUUCCCUCAUUUCUGGCUUGUUAAUACAAGCUAUCGUUGCAUAUAAAAAUAAAAUAAAAAGGACGUAGCCUUAUGCCAACCAUAUUUUUUUUUAAAUUAUUAUUAUUUGUCACAUCCCAGCCCGAGCCCUCACCACAUCUCGGGCUCGACUCCACUGUAGCACAAUAUUAUUCGUUUUGGGGCCCUGAUCACACCCUCAAGGUUUUUAUUUUUGGGAACUCCACACGAAACUUCCCAGUGGGUCACCCAUCAUGGGAUUCCUUUUUGCGCGAACUCGCUGAACUUUGGAGUUUCGAUGAAACCCGAAGCCAGUGAGCUCCCAAAAUGCCUCGUGCUAGGUAGAGAUGAGAAUAUACAUAUAAGGCUUGCAGGAUCCAUUCCUUGGGCGAUGUGGGAUGUUACAAAUCCACCCCCCUUAGUGGCCCGACAUCCUUGUCGGUACACACUUCCGGCCAGGGAUUGGUUCUGAUACCAAAUUGUCACAUCCCGGCCUGGGGCCCCACCACCACCACAUCCCGGGCUCAACUUCACGGUAGCACGAUACUGUCCGCUUUGGGCCUCGACCACGCCCCCACGAUUUUUUGUUUUUGGGAACGAGAACUUCCCAGUGGGUUUACCCAUCCUAGGAUUGCUCUCGUGAACUCUCGCUUAACUUCGAAGUUCCGAUAGAACCCGAAGCCAAUGAGCUCCCAAAAUGCCUCGUGUUAGGUAGAGAGAAUAUACAUAUAAGGCUUAGAGGAUCCAUUCCCUGGGCGAUGUGGGAUGUGUUACAUUAUUAAAUGGAUGAUUUAAAACUUUUAUAAUAACUUAGAUGAGGAGGGAUGUUUGAACUUGACACGCAAGGUAGAAAUCAACUUCCAAUCCACUAGGAUAUUUGGACUACAUGCAUUAUGCCCAAAACAAUACAUAUCAAGGAUUGGUAGCCUUACUCGAUAAUUUCCUGUAAAACGGUCUUUGAAUCUCAAAAAUUGCUAAAAUUUAUUUUUAUUUUAAUACAUUCGAUAUUUUCUAUACUAAAGGAUCGAAGAAUGGCCAAAACCUCACAGUGGCUAGUAAUAUUGCUUUUGUUUGAAUUCGCCUUUAGUCACAUGUAUAAGGAAAUUUAAAUUUUGCUCAUUCACUAAUCACCCCGAGAAUCAUAUUCAUAAAGUAAUUAUCCAAAAUUUAAAACAAAACACCAAUAAAUAAUAAUCCAAAUACAUAGAAAAAGAGUAAUGCUAGGAAGGCUAAAUUUGUAGACAAAAUUUGCAAACCAAAUUAUGUGUCACCAAUAAGGAAUGAUUACGUUCAUCCAUGUUUAAAUUAAUGAUCUAAUCAACAACUUCGAUGUCAUUUAAAUUCAUAAAAUUGUCUUACUCCAUAGAAAAUUGUUCAAAAACUUGAACCAAAUAUUAAGAGGGCGUUUAGCCACUAGGGGGAACUCAGACACAUGUUGGCCCUUGUUUAAAAGUUCUAAUCUUCCAUCGGUGUAGAUGACUUUUGAAAAUCAAAAAACUACACAGUGGUAUCUUCGGGAUUAUCAACUUGAACAAAGUUAGUGUGUAUGACUUUACGACGUGAAUGAUACUUAGCAACAACAUCAACAAGUGCUUGACAAAUGCAUGACCAAUAAUCCUUGGAACCACAAUGAUAACAUAUGUCUAUUUCUAUGGUGGUUGUGCCUUACCUUUAUUCUUGAAGUUGAAAGUCUUGAGAUCUAGAGAAUCGCGCUUUGAAACCACAACUGUAACACAUGUCUAUUGGACCAGAAAAGUGUGGCAAGCGUUGUUCGUUAUGGGAAGCUGAGAUAUCCACCAACACAUGAAGCCACAGGGUAUUCUCUUGUUUACAAUCAGCUCUCCCCUUUUGAAGUCCAAAAUUAUACUUCCGGAAUCAUCCACCAUGUUCGUCUCACAAGUUUGAUUUCGUUUGCUUCUUAUUUUCUUCAAAGUUUCAAUGGAGAAUUACAAAGUUGGGUUUUGCUGAAAUGACUGAACUUUUAAAUCCCCCAAACAUAAGUUGUGAUGGAAUGUGGUUCUUCUGAUAAGUUGGUGAUCUAAUUGUUGUUUCGAUGUAGGGUUGAAACUGAAUACACUGUACUUUUAUCGAUGCGGGGAUCCUUCUAUACAUGCAAUGAGUCAAAUCCACCAUUUUCAGGACUAUCCCAGUUUUCUGGUCCUCGGAGCUACCCUGAGAGAAUAGCGGUUAUGGGAGACCUUGGCCUUACUUACAACACAACUACCACAAUAAGUCACUUGAAAAGUAACAAUCCUGAUCUUGUUCUAUUGAUUGGUGAUGUUACUUAUGCAAACCUCUACCUCACAAAUGGAACUGGCUCUGACUGCUAUUCUUGCUCAUUUCCAAACUCUCCAAUACAUGAGACCUAUCAGCCUCGAUGGGAUUAUGGGGAUGGUUAAAACAUAAAUUGCUUUAUUUCUAUCGCAUACAAUGGCUGCUGUAAAUUAUGGCAUAGAACUUGUUUUCUUAUGUUGUCAUUGCUGGGUAAUUUGUGUAGGUAUAUGCAGAGUUUAGUGUCCAAAGUUCCAAUAAUGGUUGUUGAAGGGAACCAUGAAAUAGAAGAACAGGCUGAAAAUAAGACUUUUGAGGCUUAUAGUUCUCGUUUGAGAAAACAAAUUUAAUGUGAAAUUAAUUGGUACUUGGUUCCCUCAUUGCUAAAACACAUAAUACAAAUCUUAUUUGAAACGCUAUCAGAAACAAUGACCUUAUCUUGAAACUCGUAUCACAACAGUACCAUUUGGUUCCGAUCCCAAGCAUGUUUUUAUUAAGUUGUCCUUGGUGUCUAUGAAUGACGAACAAUUUUCCUCAUUGUAAUUAAUUAUCUUUUUGCUUUAAAGUGCACUGAAUAUUCUUCAAUUUUCCAAAACAUUUGUAAUAUUGUGCCAAUUAUAUUAUAUAUUUGCAGGAUGCAUAGCAAUUUGGUGUCAGUAAAACUUUUGUCUGCCGCAUAUUUGAUCAUGUUUUAACUUCGGAAUUUCAUGGUCUAGUUAAUUUUGACGGAUUUUGAAAGGCUUUUAAAACAAAUUAGAAUCAAACUUUCGAAUUUACUACCCCAAACAAAUUGCACUGCAAAUUACCAUAAUCAGAAUUCAUCAGGUCAUGUACGUACUACAUAACAUUUACUUAGGAUAUGAAAUGGUGAGAUCGAUAAAUUCGAAAUCAUCAUUAUAUUGUUGUUCUUAUUACAUUAAUAUAGAUAUAUGUAGCAGCCACUAUAUAUACCCAUUAGAGUGAAUACGAUACCAAUGCCCCACAAUUUGUUGUCCUGACACAAUCGACCGGAUUCGCUGCGUUGUAGUCAAAACAGAUGACGACUUCCUGGAGAUACACGAUCCUCCCAUCAUACUUGCACAUAAGAAGAGGUGUUUUCCCUCCUAUAGUCCGUCGAAUGGCCGAUUCAAGGUCGAUGUAAUCAUAUUGAUGUCCUGGUACAAUCCCAGUUGUUUGAGAAAAUAGAUAUUGUGCAUUGUAGGUCAACCAUAAUCUAUGAGCUUCGUGGAAGUACUGUGUCUGGGAAAAUUUAUUGUCCGAGCACCUGCCGUGCUUGUUGUACUCAUGCUCCCAGAAAUCCAUAUUUGUCCGUCUAAUGUUGAAGUUGGGCCAGGAAUUGGACAAAAGUAAUUGCAUUAUGAUCAGCAUUCAUCUGAAGCACAAAGACGAGAAGUUACAAGCAUUUCAGAGAGCUGCAGGAGAAAAAAAACAAACUGAAAUGAGUAAAUAUAUUCAAUGUGUACCUGUUUUCUGUCGAAUAGCGUGCCAGCGCAGAGUAUAGAUGCAGAUGGAUCGGUAAAGUUGCUCGGCCAGAGGCCGUGUGUCGUAAAGGUAUGCCGCAGAACUGGUGGGUUUCCACAAAUUCCAUUCCCAAGGCAGAAGACGUAUGGGGAUUGCUGGACGAAUUGGAAGAUAUCAUAUGGUGUGGCAGCAUUGCUCUUUCCGAGAUAAGUGACGAAGCAAAGAGCGAUGACAACGAGAACAAUCUUGAAGAAGUGCAUGGUUGUCAAGCAAUUAUCAAAAGAACAAAGGGAGGGAGGGAGGAUGGGAUGAGAAAUAAUAAGGAAAGCUAAAGAGUGAAUGAAGUGUGAAUUUUCAAAGAAAUGAAGAGGUGUUUAAAUAGUUAGAGUUGAGGUUAAGGGUAGGGUUUGGAGAAAUUAAUUAAGGUGAAGCUAACUAGCAAAGAUGAUAAUAAUUAAGGUCAAGUAAGUGUGAACAGAUCCUGAACUAGGGAAUGCCUCUUUCUUGUUAUGCAAGGCUUUGCAUUCUCAUAUGCAUGCUAUAAAGGGUGGUAACCGUGUAGUGGUUGAUUCAUCAACAACCCAAUCAACCCAAUUAUAGCGGUUCCUCAUAUAUCAGAUUCAGACCCCAAGCAAGCUAAUAGUCUCAAUUUUUAGAUUAUAAUUCUAUUUGAGAAAGCCAUUCAGGACCACGCUAGCUAAAUAUGGUUCCAAUCGAAUAUAAACAGAAACGAUUUGGACAUUGUUUAUGUAUCUUAUCUUGUAAAUUGAAGUUUCAACCACUACCUUCUAGCAGUGGUAAUUCUUAUCUUUGAAAUUUUGGAGCUCUCCUCUCCUCUUCAUGGUUUCUAUUCAACUUACUUAUCCCGGUUGCAGAUAAUUAAUUAACUUGUGGAUUAAGUAAAUAGCUAUUUCAAUUUGCUGCUACUCACCCUGGAGCUAGCCUUCGGACCGGGGAAAUCAUAUUGUCCUAUAGACACCCGCUUCGUCGCUGCAAGGCGACACCGCAGGGUGGAUAUCUGCGGGUACUCAUCAUUUCAUUUCAUGGUUGUAUUGCUUCACAUUUGCAGAUUGUUAACACAACAUGCCUUCUGUUUAGUUAAUUCAUUAAUCAAACAUGAUCAAAUAUACAACAUACAAAUUGUUAGAAUUGAGGUCAAGUGUAGAGUGUAGAGAAAGAUUAAGUUGAAGCUAGCUAGCAAAGGUGAUAAUAAUUAAGGUCAAGUGAGUGUGAACACAUUCGGAAUUAGGGAAUGCAUCUUUCUUGUUGCCCACGGCAAUGCAUUCUCAUGCUAUAAAGGGUAGUAACUGUGUAGUGGAUGAUUCAUCAUCAACCCAAUUAUAUAAAGUGGUUCAUCAUAUAUCAGAUUCAAACCCUAAGCUAGCUAGCGGUCCAAAUUUUAGAUUAUAAUUCUGUUUCAAAAAUCCAUUCAGGACAACGCUAGCUAAACAUGGUUCCGAACGAAAAAAUACAGAAACGAUUUAGGCAUUGCUUGCGUAUCUCAUCUUGUAAAAAUGUACAACUUACAAUACACUUAAUUUCGAACAUUGUUUGUGUAUCUCAUCUUCUUCGUUGAAAGGCAACACCGCAGGGUGGAUAUCUGCAGGUAGCCAUCAUUUCGUUUCUUGGUUGUAUUGCUUCAUAUUUGCAGAUUGUUGAUACCACAUGCCUUUUCCGUUUAGUUAAUUCAUUAAUAAAAAAUUAUCAAAUAUACUCGUAAAUUUUUAUCGACUCCAAGUUUCUUAAGGACAUCCAUAAUUUGGACAACAAAAGGAUUUCAUUACUUUCGAUAUCUACGUACACAUGUACUUGUUGUUGCCUUCCGUGACCGAAACCAUACUCUUGACAUAUACAAUGGGCGAAUGAUUUGCUUUGCACAGUGGCAAAUAAUACGGUUGCGGAGGAAAAAUGGGAUUGAUCCUUACAGCACUUUGAAUGGGAAGAUUUUUAAGCUUCUUAGUACGGAAGUUAUAGCAGACUAUGCCUCCAUUUUCCUCUACUGUAAGAACCUCGUCGCUUUUCCACAUUGGCAAGCCUCCAUUUCCCUCUACUGUAAGAACCUCGUCGCUUUUCCACAUUGCCAAUGUGGAGUACAGGGGCAAGCCGGACCUUGAGAAUGAUGGGAUCUUGGCAGCAAAGUGUUUUGUCCAAACACCACCCGCAUUUUUCGGACCACCACCAGAAUCAUCAUCCAUUAGCCACAAUUCAAAGGGUGGUGUAUCACCAUCUUCAAAGGUAUUACGAUUCAAGCGAAAGAGAGCGAUGGAUUCAUUCCACACCUUAAGACGCAUUUCAAUACCAAUUCCUUCGAAAUUGUUGAACUCUACCAUCUCAUGUGGUAACAGUAUGUCAUGAAACACCUCACGACUCAUGUCAAACAAAACGAUCACUCGCCUAAUUUUUUUCUUGCUCGGGAUAGGUGACAUCAUAGCUAUCGGCAAAUUCCUUUUGUUGCUCACUUCCUAUCCAAUAACACAUCCCCUUUGAAGUACACCUGAAAAGUUUCAGGCCAAAGGAAAGUAGUUUCCGUUUCUAAAGAAUAAGGCUCGAUCUCCCUCCAAGAAUUAGUUCCUAGGGUAUACACUACUACCUUGGGAGGAUGAAUAAUCAAAUGUUCUGUGCCGCCAUGCAAUUCUGAACCAGAAAAUCCAAUUUUGACAACUUUGUAAUCUUUAGAUUUAGGAUCAUAGCCUAAUCCCAAAACAUCGUUGAACCGAUUUGUUAGUGGCAUGUAAGGCAUAUCCAACCACCAAGGAUGAGGAUCCCUAAAGGAUGCUUCGUCGAACCAAUCUGGACUGUAUGUCUCCGAGGGAAGAAGGACCCUGAAUUCCUGAAUUGCCGGAUUCCACAAAAGCACCUUAGUAGAAUUAGGACGAGCUAGACAAAUGAUCCCAUCACAAUGACCUAUAACAUGAAAUGAUUGAUCAUCUCCAAUCUCCAGACUCAUAGAAAGAGGAAUAUUGACGUCCUCGAUCCCAGAAAGAGUGCUACACUUGUGCACACCAUCAUCUCGUCAUCAUCAACAAUGACAUUGUCAAAAGUAAGUACUGAGAAAUACGGAUUGAAAUUUGUGUCCCCAUUUGGGUCCUCCGUAGAAGGGACUAACAUUCGCUUCAGAAGGACACGAGUGGACUGAUCGUCCAGCAUGGAAUGGGAGAGGUGCUUGUCGACGAACCUGGGGUCGUUGAUGAGAGCAUGCCACCAUUUAGCGACGCACUUGAAUCGCAUCAGAGAUUUCGGAGGCAGAGUUGACAGAAUAUUCACCAACAAAUCUUGUCCGAUUUUGGAUGUUUUGUUCGUCAUUUGUGCAAUGUCAAUUAUGGACCUCACCCUUGUUCUACGAUACACACAAAGACCAACACAACAAGAUCAGAAGAUUCCACAAAAGCUCAUCAUCAUCUGGCAUUGCUAUUUCUUGUUAAAAAAAAAAACUCAUUGAUACAUUCAAAAAUUUAGCCCUACUGAAAAUGCCAAUUGAAAUUCAAAAGCGAAAUAAGAAUCGAAGCAAAAAAAGUAUCCUUCUUUCAUUUAAAAAAAAAUAUAAAAACUGAAAUUGAAUAAUAAAAAGUUAGAAAUGAGGUUACCUUGUUGUAGACUAGGCAGUAGGAAGAGGAGAGAGAGACCGAAGCAGAAAGCAGCGCUGUGAGUGAGAGGGAAAGGGGCAGACUCGGCGCAGAAAAUGUAUUUUCUGCGUUUUGUUCGUGCAGCUGCGUGCGAUAAUGCGAUGGCAGAGAGGGGUUUUUAUUUUGAUUCUUGUGCGACCGAUUUCCACACCCUCCCAAAUUUACGAACUUACGCUCCCAAAUUCGGCCGCGGUUUGCAGUCUUCAAUUCCGUGUCUUAAUUGUGUAUGUUCUCUUAACUUUUUAACAGAUGUCUAUAAACUUAACUUUUAAUUUAACGGUGCUAUCUUUUUCAAAAGACUAAUAUAACAAAUAAAAAGAAAUAAAAGAAAAACAAAAGGUGCCUAACCCUCCACCUACCCCAUAACACUAUUGAAUUGGUGUUAUCACUGUUUAAUUUAACGGUGUUAUCUUUUUAGGGGAUACUGUCGUUUUUCUUUAAUUUUUAGUUUUUUUCUUCAAAUGUUAACACUGUUGAAUUGGUAUUAAGUUGAAGCAUGAGUCACUAAGUUAGAAAGAAGACAUGACGAAGACACUAGUUUAUGGACAUCAGACUCCUAGGCCUUAAUUUGUAAAUCAGAUUAAUAGUCUCUGUGGUGAUAGAGUAUUCGGAGGAAAGUCUAUGUAGUAAAAAGAUUGCCGAGCUCUUCCAGCGGCUCUACUCCAAGCCCAGCCGUGACGCCUACUCCCUCGUUUGCAAGCGCUAGCUCGCCCUCAAGCGCCUCAGCAGCACCGCCCUUUGCAUUGGCGGCCGACCGGUAUAUCGAUAGCUUAUUUGCUGGGUUCGUUAGGCAAGUGGGCAAGAAGAUUCGCCUACAGUAGCUGAUGCAGAUUCAGAAUUGUUAUUCUUGGGACUCGACCCAAAGACACAUCUGUUCUCGAAGUGCGUGACGUUUCGUGUGCUUGGGCGAGACCCACUCUUAUUUUUUAGCUUUGGUUUUCAGUAUAAGUAUUUUAACUUCAUUUCCUCUAGUUAUUUGUUUUUGUCGUUAUAAAUGUUUUUGGAAAAGUAUUUCUGUUUUCAUUUUUAAGUUGAUUCGAGCUUUUGAUCUAUAUGUUAGUACAUAUCUAUUUUGAUGUUAUCUGGCCUUAAAUUAUUUUGUGUUUUCGACUUUAUAUUUUAUUAAAGUAUGUUUUCUACUUUUACACUGAUGGGGAAAGAAAGUAUGAGCCUGGGGGCACGAAAGAUGGAAUCAUUGCAGCUGAUUGCGACGGCGUGGCAUUUUCCCUUUUGUGUAACCGCUCUUACCUAAUAUCUUCGUUACAUAUAUGUAUAUUAUUCUUCUUCCUAUUUUCGAAUAUUUUCAGUCUAGUCAGUGAUUUUAAAUUUCGAGGACGAAAUUAUUUUAAGGGGGGUAGAUUGUUACAACCACCCCCAAAUAAUUACACCAUUUGUUAUUUCCACCCCCAGCUGCCACGUGUCAAUCAUUAAACCUCCCCUCUUUUCCCUCUUUAUGUCCCCUCACCCCCGUGACCUUCUUCUUCUUCGUCUCUCUCUCCCGAAGCUCUCUCAACUCUCCAUGUAGCUCUCUCUCUCAACCUCUCGCAUCUCUCUCUCUCCCUGGACUCACUAGAACCUUAGCACCUUCAGGAGAGGCUUGUAGCAAGCCCAGGAUCCCUUUGCCCGCGAGAUCGAAGACACGGAGCAAAGCUCCGAUGAGCUUUCUUCCUUUUUAAGUGGGGGUAAGUCUCGAAUCCCUCAUUCUCGUACCUAGCUUAAUGUUUGGUUAUGAUUUAGAAGCUUGAACCUUCUAUUUUUACGUAGAUUUUGCUUCGGAAAUCAUUGUGGGUGAGCACACCCAUUUUCCGGCGAACCCAUGGACUUUGGAGGCUUUUCCGGUCACCUCCGACCGAGUUACGGUGUUUGGAAGGUAGAAAUCUCUCUCUAUCUCUUGGUUCUUCAUGUUUGUACCUAGAUCGGAGCUCGAAGCUUUCGUUUUCAAGUGACCGGAGCUGUAGCAGCUCCGGCCUUCUCUCUCGGCAAACCAGGCCAUCCGGCCUUUCCCAUUUCCUCCCCUCGGGCCUUAGGCCCGUGUUGUCUUAAGCCCAAACCCUAGCCCCCUUUAGUUUUUUUUAAGCUUUGUUAAUUGGUUUUUAAAACCCAAAAAUGGCUCGGGCCUUAUAUAAUUUGGCCUUGGGCAGGUUAUAUAUUAAAGGGCUUAAAGCCCUGUCCUUUUUAAUAAGGCCUUAAGGCCUUUGUGUUUUGGUGGUGUGUGUGUGUUUGUGGAGUGUAUAUGUUUGGGCUUAAGCCCAAACCCCAAUUCUCACCUUAAUACCCUUUUAACCCAAAAACCCUAGGUUUCUAAAACCCGUUUAAAACCCUAAACUCAUCCAAUCCCAAAUCCCCUAUUUUAUUUAAUUCAAACCCAAUCUUUUAGAAAAUCCUUUUAUUUAUCUAUUACAUUUUUGUGCUUAGGUAAAGUUGCUAGUGGAGAAAUUCUAUAUCCUUAUUCGUGCGAUUCUUCUGCUAAAGAAUAUUUGUGAGUGGACCCUUUCUAAAAUUACAUGAUUUUAUAAUUUAAUUGCAUAAAUGAUUAGCAUGCCUACGGAUUUACGAACUGAUUUAUGUUAAGCCUGUUUUUGGAAUUUAUUGAUUUCGUCUCGUGUUUUGGUGAGGAAAUAAAUUGCUAGCCUAGUUUGAGCUAUAUUUUAAUAUAUCGUAUUUUCUAUAAAAAUCAUGAACUGGUAGACUAUUCGAUGGAUGACGAUAGGAUGCUAGAACAUGUUUUAGAAACCCCUCUUUAUAGUAUAGACAAUGGAUGACUUUAUACUAUGAAGUGGUUAUUUAUGAUAGGCGUAACUAUUUGUGCGUACCUAGUAGACACUAUGCCGUCUGGGGCGAGGAACUGGUGUUGGCAUUUAGGCCGGGAGAAAUAAUCCCUAGCUACCGGCUGAGGGACAUGGAGCAAGCAUUGGGCCGGGAGUUGGUAAUCUCUGGCUACGGGCGCAGAGACCACGGAACAGGUAUUGGGUCGGGAGUUAUAUUUAUUUAGUGAUCUUUCUAGCAGCACACCGCGUUUACGAGAUGAUUUAUGAUGCGUUUACUGUUUUGAUUUCUGCGAUGAUAUUCCGCGAUGUGAUUUUUGAGAUAUUUGGCAUGCUAGGAUUUUUAUUAAAUUCAUCACUUAUUAUGCUAGUAGUUUUCAUUUAUAUAAACUUUGGGGGUUAGUAUGUUGAUAACUAUUUUAUUAUUAUUGUAUAUAUAAACUUGGUCCACUCACCUUUGUUUUGCGCCCCCAUUCAGGACUUAGGAUCAAGGUACCUAAUCCCGGCGUGAAGGCACUUCCCCAGCAGCAUCUUCGGAUCCUCUCGAAUGUAGGACUCACUCCUUUAUUCAUUAAAUUUUAUCUUAAUUCUUCUUAGUGAUUAGGUUUAGUUGUAUGCUCUGAGCAUGUUCCUAAACCUUUUAACUCUUAGUAUUUUAAAUUUCUAACCCGUAUUUAUUUCUUAUUCUUAGCUUUUGUAUCAAUUAAUGGCUUUCGUCACCCUCGGGUGUCGUCCAUCACGUGUCUAUCCUGGUAUUCGGGGAAUAUCAGGGUCGGGGCGUGUCAAAUUCGGCUGUAGUUUGCUGUCGCCAAUUCAGUGUCUCAUUUGUGUUUGCUCUCUAACUUUUUAACAGCGGUCUAUAAACUUAACUUUUAAUUUAACAGUGCUAUCUUUUCAAAAGACUAAUAUAACAAAUAAAAAGAAAUAAAAGAAAAACAAAAGGUGCCUAACUCUCCAACUACCCAAUUACACUAUUUAAUUGGUGUUAUCACUGUUUAAUUUAACGGUGUUGAAGCAUGUGUCACUAAGUUAGAAAGAAGACAUGGCGAAGACACUAGUUUAUGGACAUCAGACUCCUGGCCCUCAAUUUGUAAAUCAGAUUAAUAGUCUCCGUGGUGAUAGAGUAUUCGGAGGAUAGUUUAUGUAGAUCGUUGAGGUCUUCCGGCGGCUCGACUCCAAGCCCAGCUGUGAUGCAUGCUCCCUCGUCUGCAAGCGCUAGCUCGCCCUCAAGCGCCUCAGCAGCACCGCCCUCUGCAUUGGCGCCACCGGCAGCUCAGACCUCGUCGUCGGCCUCUUCACUGCUAAUUCCGCAACGUCCGCGCCGUUUACCUUGACGAGCACCUUAACCUUUCGUCGAUGAGGCUGCAUUUUGUUUGAGAAAAUGAAUUUCAUUGAUUAAGAGAAUAAAAUUACAAUGUUGUGGUAUGUGUAUAUAUAUAUACACACACACUCUCACAUAACUUUAACCUUCUAAACACCUUGCGACCUAUACAACAAUCUCAACUAAUUACUAAUCUAAUACAACAACCAAAACAAACAAACUAGCUCUAAGUUUUAUCACCAAUUGAAUCUUUAACAAUACUAUCCAAAACAUCCCCCCUCAAACUAAACUGAGGAGUUCAAAGGGACAGUUUGGAUCUUAAGAGCUGAAACCGGUCUUUGGAAAGAGAUUUUGUGCAUAUAUAUGAAAUUUGAUUUUGAGUGCAGAUAAAAUGGACUGAGAUGGCCUUCGAUAACAACUUUUCUUGAAUGUUGUGGUAGUUGAUCUCUACAUGCUUUGUUCUAGCAUGAAACAAAGGAUUUUUGGCAAGAGAGAUAGUUGAUUGAUUAUCACACUAGAGUUGAGGAGUACAUGUGUAACAACCCGUCCUAAAUUUUUACGGAACGAAAGGGUAAUGUUGUAAUUUCAUUUUGGGUUGGGAUAUUGGUUUAAAAUAUUGUUUUUGAGGGCCUUAAUAGGUGUGCCCAAGGGGCCCACCUAUGGAGUUUGUUCGCGACCCUCUCCCUUGUCUCUCUCUCUCUCUCUCUCUCUUUCUUCCCUCCUAUGAGUCUCACUAUCUUUUUCACUUUAUCUCUAUCACUCUUACUUCUCUCCCUUCUCUCUCAGCAAGUACCGAAGGGUGCCAUGGGGGAAAGCACCACCAGAGAAACCACCCAUUUCACCCUAUAGACCUUAUGAGCUCGAACUCGAGCCCUGUUACGUAGGAAAAACCGAGCCGUGAGACUCUAACUCCAAGCUUCGACGAGAACAAAGUUCCCCGACGCGACUUUGAAUGAUUUUGUAACUUUUUUGGUUUGGGUAAGCCUCAAAACACUCCAAAUGCUUAUCUUUUCGUCCCUAUAGUUCUUUUCUAACCACGUUGUUAUGUUUUGGACAUCAAAAUACGAAGAAACACCUCGAAGGAGUAUGUUCAAUGGUUGUGUGCUUAUCUAGUGGUCACUAUACCGCCACGGGUGAGGAUUAUAGUUGUUGGCUGCUGGCUAAGAGAAAUAAUCUCUGGCUACCAGUGCAGAGACAUAAAAGCGGGCAUUGGGUCAGGAGAUAUUAUUAUUGGAUACCACUAUGUAUCACACUAUAUAUGAGAUAUGUUUUAUGAAGGUUUUAUGACAUGCUACGGUUUUCGGAAAACCUAUUACAUAUUAUACUAUUGAAUUUCCAUAAAACUUUGGUGGUUAGUAUGUUGAUAAAAGUUUUAGUAAGUGUGUGUGUAUAUAUAUAUAUCAACUUGGUCCACCCAUGUUUGUUUUGUGCCCCAUCAGGACUUAGAAUCGCGGCGUACAAUCUCGACGUCAAGGCAUUUCCGCUUCGGCAGCUUCGAGUCCUCUUAGUGUAGAACCCAUUCCUUUGCUCCUUCAAUGUUAUAUUAUUUUCUUUUUAGUGUUUUAGAUUAGUUGUAUGCUCCGAACACGUUCAUCAUUUGCAUAUUAAAUAUAAUUAAAUUUAUAAGUCUUAUAUAUUUCGGGUUCUCAUGCAUUCUAAUAUGGCUUUGUCACCUUCAAGUAUCGGCCAGCACGUUCCUACCCUGAUGUUUGGGGAAUAUCAAGGUCGGGCAUGUCAACAAGGAAGAUGGAAACCAAUAUCAGCAAGUAACUGACAUAUCCAUGUAAUUUCGUCUAUAGUAUUAGCUAAAGAUCGAUACUCUGCCUCUGUUGAAGAACGAACCACUGUUGAUUGCUUCUUAGCAUUCCAACUGAUGAUAGAUGAACCCAGAAAAAUACAAUAAGCGCUAGUUGAUCUUCGAUGAAGUGUGCAACCUGCCCAGUCAGCAUCUGAUAAGGCUUUGAGAGAUGGAAUAGAGACAUAUUUUGUAAACCAAAGACCAAUGUCAAUGGAACCCUUAAGAUAUCGAAUGAUCCUUUUGAUAGCUUGAAAAUGAGACUGCCUUAGACUAUGCAUGAAUUGACUGUAAAUGAUAAAUUUGGCCGAGUCCAAGUAAGAUAUUGUAAUGAACCAACCAAAGGUCGAUAUCUGCAGGAUUAUCAAGCAAUGGAGAAGAAAGAUCCAUCUUGGAUGUACUGAGUGGGGUAGCACAUGGUUUUGCUCCAGCCAUGUUAGCCUUCUUUAAUAGAUCCAAGAUAUACUUUGUUUGUGAAAUGAAGAUGCCUUUGGAGGAUCGCUUGACUUCAAUUCCCAGAAAAUAAUGAAGUGCACCAAGGUCUUUAAUAAGAAAGAGAUAGCUAAGUUGAGAAAUAACAUGCUUGCAAGCUGCUGCAGAUGGCCCUGUGACAGUAAUGUCAUCAACAUAUAUCAGAACAAAGACCAUAAGAUCCCUUUUGACAAACAAUGAAUGAUCUAAUUUGGAACCAGUGAAGCCAAAAGUGUGUAAUGCUCCAUGGAGUUUUUCAUACAAGGCUCGGGGAGCCUGUUUAAGACCAUAUAGGGAUUUAUGCAAUUGACAAACAUGAGUAGGAUGAAUAACAUCUUCAAAACCAGGCGGCUGUUGCAUAUAAACAGAUUCAGACAAUGUCUUACGCAGAAAAGCAUUGCUUUCAUCUAGUUAAUUGAGACUCCAAUCAAAUUGGGCAACAAGAGUGAGUAGGAGUCGAAUUGUCACAGGCUGGGCUACUGGACUAAAAGUCUCAGUAUAAUCAAGUCAUUCUUGCUGAUGAAAACCUUUGGCAACUAAGCAAGCUUUGUACCUAUCUAUGGUACCAUCAGGUUUUCUUUUAAUCCUGAAAACCCACUUACAUCCUACAAUGUUUUGAUGAGCAGUUUUGGGUACUAAGGACCAAGUACCAUUUUGUUGUAAGGCAAGAAACUCCUCAUGCAUUGCCUUAACCCAAUGUGGAUAUUUGGAAGCUUGGAGAUAUGUAGUGGGAACAAAUUCAUUGGAAAGAUAAGAAAGGAGAGGAUGUUUGGUUGCAGAAAAUGCUUUUGGUUUGUAAAUACCAGAUUUGGACCUGGUUUGCAUAAGGUGAGUAUUAGUAUGAACCGAGUGAGAUGUAGGUAUAAGAGAUAUAGGUAUAAAGGUUGUUGGAGAAUAUAGGAGAUGAAGAUGAUGGUAUAGGGGAAUAGAUCUGUGGUUAAGUGAAUGUGAGGUGCAUGGGAAUGGUAUUGAGAGAUGAAGCUGCUACUGAGGAAAGAGAGCACUGUGAAGCUGCAAUAGUGUGAAAGGGAAAAUUGCCUUUAUCAAAGAUCACAUUUCGUGAGAUGUAUAACUUGUUGGUAGUGAGAUCCAAACAUUUGUAACCUUUGUGGUUGAGGCUGUAACCAAGGAAUACACAGAGCUUGCUUUUGGGAUCCAAUUUAGACUCAUAGUAAGGUUGCAACCAUGGAAAACAACUACCCCAAAAACCUUCAAGGUGGCAUAGUUAGGUGAUAUGUGGAAGAGACGUUCCUAUGGAGACAAUCUGGAUACAGUAGGUAAUUUGUUUAUGAGAAACACAGCAGUGGAAAAAACAUGAUCCCAAUAGGUGUGAGGGACCUUAGAAACUGUUAAAAGUGUUCUGGCAGUCUCAACUAUGUACAUGUGCUUAGGUUCAGCACAACUAUUCUGUUGAGGGGUGUAUAGAUAACUUAGUCAAUGAUUGAUACCAUUCUCAAUAAAGAAAUUAGAGCAUUGAGUGCUAAGAUAUUCCCCACCAUAAUAUGAUCUAAGAGCAACAAUUUUAGUAUGCAGCAAGUUCUCAACAAGACUUUUGAACUUAACAAAAGUAGGAAACACAUCAGAUUUAUAUUGCAAAGACAAAGCCAACAAUAUUUUGUAAAAUCGUCUACAAAUAUGACAUAGUAUCUGAAAUUGUUCGCAAAAAUGAUAGAUGUUUGCCCCCAAACAUCUGUGUGAAGUAGCUCCAAAGGUUUACUGGUAUGAAAAGUAUCUGAAAUUGUUCACAGAAGUGACAGAUGUUGGCCCCCAAACAUUUGUGUGAAGUAGCUUCAAAGGCUUACUGGUAUGACAAGUUACAUAAGCAAAUGGCAAUCUAGAACUUUUGCUUAAGGCACAACCAUUACAGAAAGACUUAUUGGAACCACUAGAAAAAGAAAUAAAAGACUUAGUAACCAACUUAUUGAGAAUCUUCACCAAAUGAUGGCCAAGUCUUUGGUGCCAAAUAUUUUUGGAUGUGUUAACAGAAGCAGCAAACACAUUGUGAUUAUGGAUCACAAAACUGGAAGGCUGUGGUUGAAAUGGAUAGAAGCCAUCUCUCACAGGACCUUUAAAGAGCAUCUUCCCCGAAGAAAUAUCCUUCACAGUGAAAUGAAAAUGAUAAAGAUGCAUAGAACACCAAUUGUCAACAAGAAACGGAUUUGCAGAAAGCAAAUUUUGUUUCAAAUCAGGAACAUGUAACAUAUUUAGAAGUUGAAAAUUAUGAUGAGGAGUAUUUAAUGUAGAAAAACUAGAGUGGAGAAUAGGCAAACCUUUAAAGAGUGUUGUAAGAAUUGGUCAUGUGAAUACUAGCACCGGAGUCAACAAUCCAAGUAGGUUGAGGAGAAUGUGUGCUUGCAGCCAUAGCAGAAUGAGAAACAUUGCUGGAAUAAUGUGGAUUCAUGCGCUGGGGACACUCGAUUGCAUCAUGUUCAAACUAGCGACAAAUUUGGCAUGGAAUCCUCAUUCCUGAGAAAUUGAAGGAUGAUCAACCACCACAGUUGUAGUGCUGAGAAUUGUUGCGAUAAGAAUUUGGACAAUUGUUGUUAGAACGGAAGUUGCUUCGUCCCUGAAAGUUUCUAGGGUUGGAGAAACCACGAUCACCACCACGACCUUGAGAGAAAUUAUGAUCACCACCACGACCUGGAGGAUUAUGUUAAGCAACAAAAGCCUGAGAAGGCGAAGUAGGAAGAAUGCCGGCGGUGGAGUUGUAUGCCUGAAUUGACAUUGUCGAAGUAGUUUUCUUCCGAUUUGUUAGCUGAAUCUCUUUAUUGAGAAGGAGACCAUGCAGCAUCAAGUGUGGUGGAACCAAGUCAGAAUUGUAUCGCAUCAACAAAAGAUUCGUACUCUGGUGGUAACUCAUGAUGUGUGACAGAGGUUAAUUCAGAAUCCUCAACUGGAGCACCGACACUAGCAAAAGCAUCAGUGAUCUCUUCAAUUUGUUGAAGAUAUUGGGCAGCUGUGGAAUCACCAUUCGAAAUGCUGUGCAGACAUGAUCAGAGCUCGUGGAUGUACAAUUGAGACGUCGUCGCAAGGCGUGACUCCAAUCUUGCCUAAAGCUCUCUGGAUGUAGUAACUCUAACAGUGUAAGGAUGAUCGAUUUAGAGAAUGUGGAAUUGAUCCAAAUGAGGAUGUUCUUAUCGUUCUCGAACCAAUAAACAUAUGCCGGAUUCAGAAUUUGAUUUCCAACAGCAUCAGGGAUGAAUUAAGAUGGAGGAGGCAUCGAUCCAUCAAGAAUUCUAGUGAGAUUAUAGUGAAGGAAGAUCGGAGCAAACAAUGCACUCAAGGUGAGAUAAUUGGUCGGAGUCAGCUUGAUCGGCACCAUGGAUCCGAUAUUCUGGAUUGUGAUUGAAGGUGUGGAAAGAGUAUAACUCGAAUUUGAAAAAGGAUUACGAUGAAUUUGUGUUGCCAAUUUCCAAACUCUCCGAUACAUGAGACCUAUCAGCCUCGAUGGGAUUACUGGGGAAAGUUAAAAUAUAAAUUGCUUUAUUUCUAUCGCAGGCAAUGGCUGUUGUAAAUUAUGGCAUAUAACUUAUUUUCUUAUGUUGUCAUUGCUGGGUAAUUUGUGUAGGUAUAUGCAGAGUUUAGUGUCCAAAGUUCCAAUAAUGGUUGUUGAAGGGAACCAUGAAAUAGAAGAACAGACUGAAAAUAAGACUUUUGAGGCUUAUAGUUCUCGGUUUGCAUUCCAAUCUGAAGAAAGCGGAUCUUUGUCCACAUUCUACUACUCAUUUAAUGCAGGGGGGAUUCAUUUUAUCAUGCUUGGAGCCUACACCGACUUUAGCAAAUCAGGUAAUUAAAGUUUGCCUAAUUUUUGAGCUCAUUCCUUGCCUAAAUAUUCGUAUUUUUGCAUUUCUUUUUCUUUACAAAUGGUUUCGUUAUUGUUUCUAUCCCCAUUAAUCAGUGAUUUCUUUGCCUACAGGGAAACAAUACAAGUGGCUGGAGCAAGAUUUGGCUAAUGUGGACAUAUCUGUUAAAAGUUAAUGCUUUACUGAAACUGAUUCUGUGUAAAAGGGCUGACUGUUGCCUUUAUCAGUCGACCCAUUCUCUUUAUCAGUCGACCCAAUUACUUCAGUCGGCUUAUGUAUUGAGCCAUAUAUAUCAGAAAUAUCUGAAUGAAAAUAUCAGAUCUCAGUUUUAAGUAAAAAGCAUCAGCCCUCUGUUUCCAAAAAAGCUCUGUGCACUUUGUUUCUUUGAUUUUCAAUCUUUAUCAUUUUAUUCAAGUUUUAUUAAUGAUGAAAGAUUGUCUAAAUACCAACAUGGUAUCAGAGCCAAUCUGAUCAAAGAGUGGGGCAUUUUUUUUUUAUUCUCAUAAAAGGGGAAAAUUCCAAGUGAAACCCUAGAAUCAAAAUUUUUCAAAUUCAUGGCUGGUUCAAGCAGCAGUGGUGAGAUUCGAACUCCUAUCUUCAGUGGAGUAAACUACGACUUCUGGAGGACAAAGUUGAGAACAAUUUUUGUAUCUCAUGAUUUGUGGAGCUUGAUUGAAGAUGGCUAUGUUGUACCUCCAAGCAAUGUGGUUUUGACAGAGACUCAAACAAGGGAGUUGAAGGUAAACAUCAAGAGAGAUGCAAAAGCUUUUGGGGUCAUCCAAAAUGCUAUCUCAGAUGAAAUUUUUCCGAGAAUCUCAAAUGAGACAAGUGCCAAAUUAGCUUGGGAUGUGCUGGAGAAAGUCUACAGAGGUUCUACUAAGGUAAGGGCUGUCAAACUUCAAUCUUUGAGAAGAGAUUUUGAGUAUAUAAGAAUGAAAGAUGAUGAAUUGCUAGAUGAUUACCUGAGUAGAUUGUCUGAGAUUAUUAAUCAAAUGAAAAGCUAUGGUGAAAUCUUGUCUGAUGAGAGAAUAGUUCAGAAGUAUCUAAUUAGCUUGCCAAGAAAGUAUGACAACAUAGUUUCAAUCAUAGAGGAGACUAAGGAUUUGUCAACUUUGAGUGUUGAAGAAUUGAUUGGUUCUCUCAAAGGUUUUGCUCAAAGAUUAUCUAGGCAUGACAACAAUGAUGUAGAAAAUGCUUUCCAAACACUUACAGUGAAUCCAAAAACUCAAGCUAGUUCAAGUCAAAGCAAAGCCAACUUCAACAAGAAUUGGAAAGGCAAAAACAAAGCGUGGGAAGGAAAGGGUAAUUUUGAAGACAAGAAAAAGGUUGAGAAGAGUUUGUAUGUUUCGAAGUGCAAAAUUUGUGACAAAGCUCAUUCCGGUGAAUGUUGGUUCAAAGGAAAAGUGAAAUGCCACAAGUGUAGCAAAUUCGGGCAUAUGCAAAAGGAUUGUACCUACAAAGAUAAUCAGCUAGCUCACUACACCAAAGCAGAAGAUGAAGAGACCAAUAUGUUUUAUGUUGGUCAUGAUACAACCGUCCAAGAAGAAGCUAAAGUUUGGUUUUGUGGACAGCGGCUGUAGCAAUCAUAUGACGGCGAAUAAGAACAUUCUCCAUAAUGUUGACACUACAAACCUAACCCGAGUGAAGAUGGGAAAAUGGGCAGCUAGUCGAUACAUUGGGAAGAGGUACUAUUGCCGUGCAUACGAAGAAUGGAAAGAUGUUCAUCAAGGAUGUCAUGUUAGUUCCUGAUUUGAAGCAAAAUUUGCUAAGUCUUGGACAACUCAUUGAGCAUGGCUACUACUUAUAUUUUGGAGACAAUACUUGCAAGAUAUAUGAUAGGAGGAAUCGUCAACAACUCGUGGCUAAGAUUGAGAUAAGGAAGAGUAGAAGUUUUCCUCUCACAAUUGAGUAUGCAACUCAAUCUGCAUUCAAGAUGGAAGUGCAAGAAGAUUCAAAGCUAUGGCAUAAAAGGCUUGGCCACUUGAAUUUUCAAAGUCUCAAGAAGCUACAAGAAAAAGAAAUGGUGCAUGGGUUGCCGAGUAUCCAAGAAAAUGAAGAAAUCUGUGAAGGGUGGGUGUGCACUUAGGAAGCAUCAUAGAGAUUCAUUUCCACAUGGUAAAGCUUGGAGAGCAAAAGUUCCAUUGGAAUUGAUUCAUACAGAUGUUUGUGGACCCAUGAAGACCUCUACUCAAGUGGGAAACAAGUAUUUCCUAAUCUUCGUGGAUGAUUAUUCCAGAAUGACUUGGGUAUACUUUCUAAGACAGAAAUAAGAAGUGUUCUCAAUCUUCAAGAAGUUUCAAGCUAUGGUUGAGCGACAAUCUGGGUAUCUAAUCAAAGUUCUUAGAAGUGACAGAGGAGGAGAGUAUACAUCCAUAGAAUUUGAUAAGUUUUGUCAAGAUAUUGGCUUGGAAAGACAACUUACUGUCAGCUACACUCCACAACAAAAUGGAGUAGCUGAGAGAAAAAAACAGAACCAUAGUCGAAAUGGCUAAGGCAAUGUUACAUGACAAGGGAAUACCUCAAUAUUUGUGGGGUGAGGCAGUUAAUACAGCGGUCUACUUGAUGAAUAGGUAUCCAACAGUGGCAGUUGAAGAUAAGACACCAUUUGAGGCAUGGAGUGGAAGAAAGCCUUCCGUGAAUCAUUUGAGAGUGUUUGGGUCAAUCUGCUUUGCUUAUGUUCCGAAAGAACUAAGACAAAAACUUGAUGAGUCAAGUGAAAGAUGCAUUUUCAUAGGCUAUGCUUCAUACACAAAAGGGUACAGACUCUACAAUUUAAAAAGGAAGAAAGUUGUGGUUUGUAGAGAUGUUAUUUUUAGUGAGAAAUCUUCGUGGGAUUGGAAUCAAGCAACCAUCCGAGAGGAAUCUGCACAAAUCAGAAUUGAAGAAGAAAAUCAACCAAAUGAAGAGGAAAUUGAGCCAGAAAUUCCACAAUUAUCACCUGAAAACAGUCCUCAAGCUCACUCUCCUACACUUUCAAGUCAAGUUCAACGCCGGUUCGGUUAAGGAGCUUAAAUGAAGUCUUUGAAAGCUGCAAUUUUUGUGUUGAAGAACCAGAAAACAUUGAUGAUGCAGUGAAAGAAGAGACUUGGAAGGCUGCAAUGCAAGAGGAGAUCAAUGUCAUUGUGAAAAACAAGACAUGGGAACUAGUGGACAGACCUUGUGGCAACUCGUCAUUGGAGUGAAGUGGAUUUAUAAGACUAAGCUCAAUCAAGAUGGUUCCGUUCAAAGGAACAAAGCUAGAAUGGUAGCAAAGGGUUAUUCUCAGAAACCCGGGAUUGAUUUCCAAGAAACAUUUGCACCGGUAGCUAGGCAUGAAACAAUCAGAGGCCUUAUUUCCGUAGCUGCUCAGAAGGGGUGGUUUCUACACCAACUUGAUGUCAAGUCGGCUUUCCUAAAUGGAGUCCUAAAAGAAGAGGUGUUCGUUGACCAACCUCAAGGAUUUGUUCUUAAAGGACAAGAGCACAAGGUGUAUAAGCUUAAGAAGGCACUUUAUGGCCUGAAACAAGCUCCGAGAGCAUGGUAUGGAGAGAUCGACUCAUAUUUCAAUGAAAGAGGUUUUCAAAGAAGUGAGAAUGAACCUGCCCUCUAUGUCAAAACAGAAGGUAUUUCAGAUAUCCUUAUUGUUUCCUUAUAUGUUGAUGAUUUGGUUUAUACUGGAAGUAGUCGUAAUAUGAUCUUGAAUUUCAAGAAUGACAUGAUGAGGAAAUAUGAGAUGAGUAAUCUAGGCAUGUUGCAUUAUUUUUUGGGAAUUAGUAUCAUUCAAUCAAAUGAUGGUAUCUUUAUUACUCAAAAGAAAUAUGCAAAAACACUUCUAGAAAAGUUCAAAAUGGUUGGUUGCAAGCCUGUUGCAACACCUCUAGUUGUGAAUGAAAAGUUUCAAAGAGAAGAUGGUAGUGGUGAUGCUGAUGAAUCUGUGUAUAGAAGCCUGGUUGGGAGUUUGUUGUAUUUGACAACGACUAGACCCGAUAUUAUGUAUGCUGCAAGCUUGUUGUCCAGAUUUAUGCACAAGCCUACUUGCAUUCACUAUGGAGCUGCAAAGAGGAUCCUAAGAUACAUACAAGGUACACUUGACUUUGGUAUUAUGUAUGAAAGGAAUGUUAAGCCCAAAUUGUAUGGGUUCUGUGAUAGUGACUGGGGAGGUAGUGUGGAUGACUUGAAGAGCACAUCUGGCUAUACUUUUACAUUAGGGACUGGUGUAUUCUCUUGGGCAUCUAAGAAACAGAAAUCAGUUGCACUAUCAACGGCAGAGGCUGAGUAUGUGUCGGCUUCAAUUGCAACUUCUCAAGUAGUGUGGCUGAGAAGAAUUAUGCAAGAUUUUGGUGAGAAACAAGAAUCAGCAACUCAUAUCCUUUGUGACAAUAAGUCAGCUAUUGCCAUGAGCAAGAAUCCUGUCUGUCAUGGUAAAUCAAAGCAUAUUGCUCUGAAGCAUCACUACAUCAGAGGUGCUGUGGAAGACAAGGAAGUGGAUGUGGUCUACUGCAAGACAGAAGAUCAAGUUACUGAUAUCUUCACCAAGGCAUUACCAAAGGACAGAUUCAUCUACCUAAGAGAACUUUUGGGAGUGAAGCAGCAAAGCAUUAAGAGGGAGUGUUAAAAGUUAAUGCUUUACUUAAACUGAUUCUGCUUACUGAAACUGAUUCUGUGUAAAAAGGCUGACUGUUGCCUUUAUCAGUCGACCCAUUCUCUUUAUCAGUCGACCCAAUUACUUCAGUCGGCUUAUGUAUUGAGCCAUAUAUAUCAGAAAUAUCUGAAUGAAAAUAUCAGAUCUCUAUUUUAAGUAAAAAGCAUCAGCCAUCUGUUUCCAAAAAACUCUUUGCACUCUGUUUCUUUGAUUUUCAAUCUUUAUCAUUUUAUUCAAGUUUUAUUAAUGAUGAAAGAUUGUCUAAAUACCAACAAGAUCCAUAACUCCCUGGUUGCUAGAUACUUGGCAUCAUCCCUGGUAUAGUACCUAUGAGGUCCAUUACAGAGAGGCAGAAUGUAUGAGGUUGGAAAUGGAAGAGCUACUGUACUCUUAUGGCGUUGAUAUAGUGUUCAAUGGACAUGUAAGUAACGAUAACCACCAAUGAUUGUCACAAUCUUUGAUAGGUAACAUGUUUCUUUCUUAUAGCCAGAAACUAUGUGGAAGAAGUGGUAUAAGGGUCAUUCGACUGAGGCUUUCUUUCAUACCAGUAACCAGAUAGUGAUAGAAAGCUAGAAGGAACUGCAGUUUAUGCUUUAAACUUUUGAGAAAACAAAUUUAAUAUGAAAUUAAUUGGUACUUGGUUCCCUUAUUGCUAAAACACAUAACACAAACUUAUUUGAAACGCUAUCAGAAACAAUGACCUUAUCUUGAAACUCUUAUCACAGCACUACCAUUUGGUUCCGAUCCCAAGCAUGAUUUUAUUAAGUUGUCCUUAGUGUCUAUGAAUGAUGACAAUUUUCCUCAUUGUAACUAAAUAUCUUCUCGCUUUAAAGUGCACUGAAUGUUCUUCUGUUUUCUUGAAUAAAACAAUAGGUUCAUGCCUACGAGCGAUCGAAUCGAGUUUAUGAUUACAACUUAGAUCACUGUGGUCCUGUAUAUCUCACCGUUGGAGACGAGGGUAAUCGGGAGAAGAUGGCAGUUCAAGAUGCUGACGAACCUGGUCAUUGCCCAUAGCCAUCAAUUACUUCUGAUCAACACCUAGGUGAUGGUGCCUUUUGUGCAGAGAACUUUACCUCCGGCCCAGCAGCAGGUAAAUUUUGUUAGGAUCGGCAACCGGAUUACAGUGCUUUCAGAGAAAGCAGCUUUGGCCAUGGGAUCCUUGAGGUACUCCUUUUUCUAUGUUUCUGUUUGGCAAAUAUCCAGUCUGACAAUGCAUUCAAUUGUCUAUAAACGUUAUACUUUAAUUUGUAUGACCCUACACUACAUAUGAUACAACUUGAAAAUGAUUGAUGGAAAGAUGAGCAUGUGCUUGACUGUCAAUGUGUAUAGAAAGACCACACAUGGGUAAAUGUUAUGGAACCAGUUUAAAUCAUUUUUACCAUUCCACUGCAGUGUCAAGAGAAAAUCACUUAGCACCAAUAUCUGUUUAUACGGAGUGCGAAAAUCCUGUGACUGACUUGAAUACCCUUGAUCGGUUAUUGAGUAGCAAACAUAUAGAUGUAGGCUAGUAGGCUACCUGGAUUAUACACUAAGCGUGCAUUUUGAUGUGCAUAACUUGCAGGUGAAGAAUGAGACUUGGGCUUUGUGGACAUGGUACCAGAACCAGGACUCCGACAAUAAAAUUGGAGAUCAAAUUUAUAUAGUGAGGCAGCCUGAUAAAUGCUGCAUCCACCAUUUGUUCGAAAGUUGGCUUGCUGACCUCUAAUUCUCACUGCUGCUUGCUGGGAAAAAUUUAUUAUUAAGAUCCCAAAUCAAUUGACCAUUCUUAUCUGUUAGUUUAUAAGUGUAUAUGCUGAAAUAUAAUAAGAAGUCAGCUUUAAAUAUCAGCCCUUGGAUCAUAGUCCAAGUGUGCAGCUAAGAUGUAAUCUUAGAUUAAGUAAUAUUUGCUCUUGCUACAUGUGCUUAGUGUGUGCGUAUGAAUCAAAUAGAGUGCAGAGUCUUUUCUUCUUCUUCAAGCUUAACUCUCUCUUUCUCUAAAACUCUCAUCUUCCUCUUCUUCAGUACUCAUAGAUUGAUUGAAACUUAUAUACAAGAUUAUAGUCUGUAUGCUAACAUGGCCUCAGAGCCAGGUUUGAUCAAUUGAUACUGGGCGUUUAGAUCUGUGAAGAGUGUUACCCAGAAAUCGAGUCGAUUAUGAUCUGAGUCUAACAUGGCAGGAUCGGGUAGUAGUGAGGUGAGAACACCGAUUUUCAAAGGUGAUAAUUAUGAGUUCUGGAGUAUUAAGAUGAAAACGAUUUUCAAAUCUCACGGACUGUGGGAUCUGGUUGAGAAAGGUUUCGAGAGUUCAGAUUCGAAGGAUGAUGGUGAAUCUGAUGGAAAGAAGAAAGAAAAUGAGGAGUCGAGCAGUAUUGAGAAGCUAUCUCUAGCUGAGAGACUGAUGAAAGAUGCUAAAGCUAUGGGUCUGAUUUAAGGAGCUGUUUCAGAUGAAAUAUUUCCUAGAAUCUCUUAUGAAGAAACCUCAAAAGGCGCAUGGGAUACUCUGCAACAAGACCAUGGUGAUAAACAGGUUAGAAAUGUUAAAUUGCAAGGUCUUCGUAGGGAAUUUGAAUAUACAAGAAUGCGAGAUGAUGAAUCACUUUCUGUUUAUCUUACAAAGUUAUUUGAUCUGAUAAAUCAAAUGCGGAGUUAUGGAGAGGAGUUAUCUCGAGAGAGGAUUGUUCAAAAGUUAUUGAUUAGUUUGCCAUCAGCUUAUGAUUCUAUAUGCUCUGUUAUUGAACAUUCGAAGGAUUUGGAUGUGAUUGAGGUACAAGAAGUAGUGGCUUCCUUGAAGAGUUUUGAGCUACGUCUAGAUAGACAUUCUGAGCACAAAACUGAGAAAGCAUUUGCUAGUCUCAAUGUGAAUCCCAAACCAGCUAAAUUCACUGGAAAUCAAAGUGCAAGGUACCAUAAGAAUUGGAAAGAAAAAGGGAAGAGGUGGGAUAACAAACCCACUGAUGGUGCUAGAAAUCCUUGUAAACAUUGUGAUAAGCUACAUUUUGGUGAGUGCCGAUUCAAGGGUAAACCAAAGUGUUAUAACUGUGAUAAGUUUGGUCAUCUUGCAAGGGAUUGUAAUAGCAAGAAACCAGUGCAACAGCUCAAUUAUGCAAAUAAGGUAGAAUCUACACCCACCAUGUUUUAUGCUAGUAAUCAAAUUAAUACUAGUGUAAAGGACUGUGAUGAUGUAUGGUAUGUAGAUAGUGGGUGUAGCAAUCAUAUGACUGGAAGGGAGGAUUUACUUGUGGAUAUUGAUAAGAAUGUAACUGCAAAAGUUGAAAUGGGUACUGGACAGCUUGUUGAUGUAACUGGUAAAGGGAGUCUUGUAGUUGAAACUAAACUAGGCAAGAGAUAUAUAAAGGAGGUUAUGCUUGUGCCUGGACUGAAAGAAAAUUUGCUCAGUGUGGGUCAAAUGAUGGAGCACGGUUAUUAUUUGGUGUUUGGAGGUCACAAGGUGGAAAUCUAUGAUGAUAGCUCAUAUUCCAACAUGGUUGCUAAAGUUCCAAUGAAGGGAAAUCGAAGUUUUCCAAUGAAAUUACAGACUGGAAUACAUAUUGCUUUCAAGGCAAAUGUAUGUGCUUCUACUACUAUGUGGCAUAAAAGAUUGGGACACCUAAACAUGAGCAGUUUGAAAUUGAUGCAGGAACAAGAAAUGGUAGUAGGAUUACCAGAAAUCAAAGUAGUUAAAGGAGUAUGUGAAGGUUGUGUUCUCGGCAAAUAAUGUAGAGAAGCAUUUCCAAGGGAAGCUAAUACUAGAGCAUCAAUUCCUCUAGAGCUUGUGCAUAGUGACAUUUGUGGUCCGAUGCAGACAACUACAAAAGCUGGCAAUAGAUAUUUUCUUACUUUCAUAGAUGACUGCACCCGGAUGUGUUGGGUUUAUUUUUUAAGGGCAUAAAUCUGAAGUUCUCAGUGUGUUUUUAAAAAGUUCAAAGCCACUGUGGAGUUGCAGAGUGGUUAUAAUCUAAAGCAGCUUAGGAGUGAUCGAGGAGGUGAAUACACUUCAAUGGAGUUUAACAAGUUUGUUGAAGAUGUAGGCAUGGAAAGACAACUUACCACUCCAUACACACCACAGCAAAACGGUGUGGCAGAGCGAAAGAACAGAACCAUUGUGGAAAUGGCUAAGUGUCUCAUGUUGGAGAAGGACAUCCCACUUGAAUCUUGGGCUGAGGCAGUUAAUACCUCAGUGUAUAUUCUGAAUAGAUGUCCAACUAAAGCUUUACAUAAGAAGACACCUUUUGAAGCUUACAGUGGGAGAAAACCAGGAAUUAAGCAUCUAAAGGUGUUUGGUUCUUUGUGUUAUGCUCAUGUGCCAAGUCAAUAGAGACAAAAAUUCGAUUUGGCAAGCAAGAGGUGUAUUUUCUUGGGAUAUGGUAGUUGUGAGAAGGGAUAUAGACUUUAUAACAUUGAAUCUGGAAAGGUGACUAUUUCCAGAGAUGUUGUGUUUAAUGAAGAAGCAUGUUGGGAUUGGAAUGCACAGAAGGAAAGAAGGGAGAGUAUCCAGAUCAUUGAAAUGUCUGAAGGAGAACAAAACUGUGAAGGAGGUGCUUGUGAUUCUGAAACACUCAGUGAAGAGAAUGUUGGGCCAAGCUUAGUUACUGAGCUCUCUGAUCAAGAAAGAAUGACAGGUCCACAGGAUUUUGAUCACACUCCUCUCAAGUACAAAAACAUUGCAGAAAUAUAUGAGAAGUGUAAUCUGUGCAUUAUAGAACCCGAAUGUUUUGAAGAAGCUGCCAAGGAUGAAUCAUGGCAGAAGGCUAUGGAAGAUGAAAUUUCUAUGAUUGAGAAGAAUCAUACUUGGGAUCUUGUUGAUAGACCAUUUGAUAAACCAAUCAUUGGAGUCAAAUGGGUUUAUAAAACAAAACAAAAUCUGGAUGGUUCAGUGCAGAAAAACAAAUCACGGUUGGUUGCAAAAGGUUACUCUCAGAAGCCUGGAAUCGAUUUUAAUGAAACUUUUGCACCAGUGGCAAGACUUGAUACUGUGAGAACUUUAGUGGCCCUUGCUGCACAGAAAUGAUGGAAAUUUUUCAGUUAGAUGUAAAGUCUGCAUUUCUAAAUGGAGUGUUGAAUGAAGAGGUGUAUGUGGAUCAACCAUCUGGUUUUGUUAUACAGGGCAAAGAAGACAAAGUGUACAGGCUCAGGAAAGCUUUAUAUGGUUUGAAACAAGCUCCAAGAGCUUGGUAUGAAGAAAUAAAUUCCUAUUUUGUAAAGGCUGGAUUCCACAGAAGUCCGAGUGAAGCUACUCUUUAUAUCAAGACAUCUCACAGUGGCAUUCUCAUUGUGUCACUAUAUGUAGAUGAUAUUAUCUACACUGGAAGUUCAAAGGAGAUGAUAGCAGAGUUCAAAGGUGAGAUGAUGAGACAAUAUGAGAUGACUGAUCUAGGAUUACUUCAUCAUUUCCUUGGUCUUGGGGUACUGCAGACAGAUAAUUACAUCUUCUUGCAUCAAAAGAAAUAUGCAAAGACUUUGCUUGAGAAAUUUGGACUUAGGGAUUGCAAGCCGGUUGCAACACCAUUAGCUAUGAAUGAAAGACUUACAAAAGUAGAUGGAAGUGAUCUGGCAGAUGAGACUUUAUAUAGACAAAUGGUGGGAAGUUUGCUAUAUUUGACAGCAACAAGGCCAGAUAUUAUGUUUGCAGCAAGCUUAUUGGCUAGGUUUAUGCACAAUCCUACCAAGAAGCAUAUGGGGACAGCUAAGAGAGUUCUGAGAUACAUACAAGGCACUGUGAACUAUGAAGUUGUUUAUGAGAAGGGAAAAUGAGUAGUGUUGGUUGGUUAUUGUGAUAGUGAUUGGAGUGGAAGUGAAGAUGAUAUGAGGAGUACAUCUGGCUAUGCAUUCAAUCUUGGUUCUGGUGUGUUUUCUUGGGCCUCAAUCAAACAAAGCAGUGUUGCUUUUUCAACCGCAGAGGCAAAAUACAUCAGUGCAGCAGAAGCUACUGCACAGGCCAUUUGGCUAAGAUUUGUACUCUCUGAUUUCGGGGAAGAACAAGCAGAACCAACUAAGUUGUUGUGUGAUAAUACUUCAGCAAUUGCCAUAUCAAAGAAUCCAGUUCAUCAUCACAAAACCAGGCACAUUAAUCGGAAAUUUCAUUUCAUCCGAGAUGCACUUCAAGAUGGUGAAAUUGAUCUGGUAUACUGCAAGACUGAAGAGCAGAUUGCAGAUAUAUUCACUAAAGCUUUGGCAAGGGAUCGAUUUGAAUUACUGAGGACAGCUUUGGGAGUGAUUUCAGCACAUCACUUAGAAGGGAGUGUUAGUUUAUAAGUGUAUAUGUUGAAAUAUAAUAAGAAGUCAGCUUUAAAUAUCAGCCCUUGGAUCAUAGUCCAAGUGUGCAGCUAAGAUGUAAUCUUAGAUUAAGUAAUAUUUGCUCUUGCUACAUGUGCUUAGUGUGUGUGUAUGAAUCAAAUAGAGUGCAGAGUCUUUUCUUCUUCUUCAAGCUUAACUCUCUCUUUCUCUAAAACUCUCAUCUUCCUCUUCUUCAGUACUCAUAGAUUGAUUGAAACUUAUAUACAAGAUUAUAGUCUGUAUACUAACAACUAAUAUAGAGACGACCGCUGAGUUCCAAUUGAAAACAAGUGGGCCCAACGUCAGCCGACCUCUGAGUUUCAAUCACCGAUGUGGAUCUCCACGUGUGAACCACUAAAUGAGGUUACACGUGAGGGGGAGUGUUAAACUGUCCCACAUCGGUGGGGUGAAGAAAACCAAAGGGGUUUAAAUAGUAUUACCCCACUCUAACUAAUACCGAGGCCUUUUGUGGUAAAACCCCACACCUGAGGAUUGUGCAGGUGGUUAAGUGGGGACAGUAUCGGUGUCGUUAGAGUGGGGCGGGCCCAGCGAUCCAAAAAUUCCAACAUUAUCUAGAUAGGAAUAGGAUGGAAGGUUGCAGAAAGAGUAGGAAGAUGGGGUUUCACCUAUGUAUACACACUAUAUAUAUAAGAGGAGGGGGUUGGGGGGGGUAGGGGUGGGGGGUGGGGGGGGGCGGGGAGAGAGAGAGAGAGAGAGCAGAAGAAGAGCAACUCCGCUGUUGUUGUAUGUAAAUGAUAAAAUCUCGUUUAUACGUCUCCUUUGUAACUUGAAUAUAUACUCUCUCAACCAGUUUAUACAACAACAAACGUGUAAGAUUGGUUCCUGGAGCAAUUUCGGAUAUUGAAUUCUAAACUAAUUGCGUAUUUUUGUUGAGUUAUCAAAAAAUUUCCCCUCCCCUUAUUGUGAAGCCGAGAAAUUGUUGGAAGUGACUUUUAUACUGUCACAUGGUGUUACCAGUUCACUGAUGUUAUGGUGGUACUGCUUAAAAGGGUGGCGUUUCGACAAAAUCCUUAGCUCCCGAGCUCACAAUGCACCCCGUCCAUAAGUCAUUCGGAGUUUGGACGGAACGAUGAGGUUCGCUACUACCUCCGUACAAAAAACCUUCAACAACUUCCCGUUCAUUGUAUUCUCCAUUAAAUUCCAGGCCAGGGGUUCCACCUCCAUCUCAUAGAGAUUAUCAUCACCUGUUGUUUCUGUGAAUAAUGUAAAUUUCUUACCAAAACAUUUGUAAUAUUGUGCCAAUUAUAUUAUAUAUUUGCAGGAUGCAUAGCAAUUUGGUGUCAGUAAAACUUUGUCUGCCGCAUAUUUGAUCAUGUUUUAACUUCGGAAUUUCAUGGUCUUGUUAAUUUUGACGGAUUUUGAAAGGCUUUUAAAACAAAUUAGAAUCAAACUUUCGAAUUUACUACCCCAAACAAAUUGCACUGCAAAUUACCAUAAUCAGAAUUCAUCAGGUCAUGUACGUACUACAUAACAUUUACUUAGGAUAUGAAAUGGUGAGAUCGAUAAAUUCGAAAUCAUCAUUAUAUUGUUGUUCUUAUUACAUUAAUAUAGAUAUAUGUAGCCACUAUAUAUACCUAUUAGAGUGAAUACGAUACCAAUGCCCCACAAUUUGUUGUCCUGACACAAUCGACCGGAUUCGCUGCGUUGUAGUCAAAACAGAUGACGACUUCCUGCAGAUACGCGAUCCCCCCGUCCUUCUUGCACAUAAGAAGAGGUGUUUUCCCUCCUAUAGUCCGUCGAAUGGCCGAUUCAAGGUCGAUGUAAUGAUAUUGAUAUCCUGGUACAAUCCCAGUUGUUUGAGAAAAUAGAUGUUGUGCAUUGUAGGUCAACCAUAAUCUAUGAGCUUCGUGGAAGUAUUGUGUCUGGGAAAAUUUAUUGUCCGAGCACCUGCCGUGCUUGUUGUACUCUUGCGCCCAGAAAUCCAUAUUUGUCCGUCUAUUGUUGAAGCUGGGCCAGGAAUUGGACAAAAGUAAUUGCAGAUUAUGAUCAGCAAUCAUCUGAAGCACAAAGACGAGAAGUUACAAGCAUUUCAGAGAGCUGCAGGAGAAAAAAAACAAACUGAAAUGAGUAUAUAUAUUCAAUGUGUACCUGAUUUCUGUUGAAUAGGGUGCCAGCGCAGAGUAUAGGUGCAGAUGGAUCGGUAAAGUUGCUCGGCCAGAGGCCGUGUGUCGUAAAGGUAUGCCGUAGAACUUGUUGGUUUCCACAAAUUCCAUUCCCAAGGCAGAAGACGUAUUGGAAGAUAUCAUAUGGUGUGGCAGCAUUGCUCUUUCCGACAUAAGUGACGAAGCAAAGAGCGAUGACAACGAGAACAUGUUGUGCGGAAGCGUCAAAUGUGAAACCAAUAAACUACAACGGCAAAAUAUGAUAAACUACAAUGGCAAAAUAUGAUAAGACAAAUAAUCUAAAUAACACAAGGAUUUAUACUGGUUCGGCGUAAGCCUACGUCCAGUUCCGAGACGGCGAGGAAAUUCCACUAAUAUCAAAAGGAGAUUACAAAUAGAGUUCAACACUCAAACCCAAAUCCCACAUACACCCAAUAGCUUUCACUCAUAUAAAGAACAAAUAGAGAAGAAGAAACACAUACCAAAUCCUUCUCUCCCAAAAGCCACAAAAUGUAGCAAUAUAUCUUUGAAUGAAUGAUUGCACAAAUGGAGAACAGUAAAACAGCAGCACUCAAUUUUCUUCUCUAUCGGCUGCUCUCUGUUUUCUGCUAUAUGCUGCCGCUGAGUUUCUGCUCUCUUUUUUUCUGCUAUCUGCUGCCGCUGAGUUUCUGCUCUCUUUACUGACCAAAAGGCAUGAAUUGCCUUAUAUAAGGCUGGUGCCUUUUAAUUAAACCCUAGCUGCCAUGUGGCUUUCAAAUGGGUAACAAAAGGCCAAACCUAUUUGGGUUUGAGACAAAAAACUAAAGGCCCAAGAAGUAUUGAGCCACAAAAUCCAACAGAACAAUCUUGAAGAAGUGCAUGGUUGUCAACCAAUUAUCAAAAGAACAAAGGGAGGGAGGGAGGAUGGGAUGAGAAAUAACAAGGAAAGCUAAAGAGUGAAUGAAGUGUGAAUUUUCAAAGAAAUGAAGAGGUGUUUAAAUAGUUAGAGUUGAGGUUAAGGGUAGGGUUUGGAGAAAUUAAUUAAGGUGAAGCUAACUAGCAAAGAUGAUAAUAAUUAAGGUCAAGUAAGUGUGAACAGAUCCUGAACUAGGGAAUGCCUCUUUCUUGUUAUGCAAGGCUUUGCAUUCUCAUAUGCAUGCUAUAAAGGGUGGUAACCGUGUAGUGGUUGAUUCAUCAACAACCCAAUCAACCCAAUUAUAGCGGUUCCUCAUAUAUCAGAUUCAGACCCCAAGCAAGCUAAUAGUCUCAAUUUUUAGAUUAUAAUUCUAUUUCAGAAAGCCAUUCAGGACCACGCUAGCUAAAUAUGGUUCCAAUCGAAUAUAAACAGAAACGAUUUGGACAUUGUUUAUGUAUCUUAUCUUGUAAAUUGAAGUUUCAACCACUACCUUCUAGCAGUGGUAAUUCUUAUCUUUGAAAUUUUGGAGCUCUCCUCUCCUCUUCAUGGUUUCUAUUCAACUUACUUAUCCCGGUUGCAGAUAAUUAAUUAACUUGUGGAUUAAGUAAAUAGCUAUUUCAAUUUGCUGCUACUCACCCUGGAGCUAGCCUUCGGACCGGGGAAAUCAUAUUGUCCUAUAGACACCCGCGCUUCGUCGCUGCAAGGCGACACCGCAGGGUGGAUAUCUGCGGGUACUCAUCAUUUCAUUUCAUGGUUGUAUUGCUUCACAUUUGCAGAUUGUUAACACAACAUGCCUUCUGUUUAGUUAAUUCAUUAAUCAAACAUGAUCAAAUAUACAACAUACAAAUUGUUAGAAUUGAGGUCAAGUGUAGAGUGUAGAGAAAGAUUAAGUUGAAGCUAGCUAGCAAAGGUGAUAAUAAUUAAGGUCAAGUGAGUGUGAACACAUUCGGAAUUAGGGAAUGCAUCUUUCUUGUUGCCCACGGCAAUGCGUUCUCAUGCUAUAAAGGGUAGUAACUGUGUAGUGGACGAUUCAUCAUCAACCCAAUUAUAUAAAGUGGUUCAUCAUAUAUCAGAUUCAAACCCUAAGCUAGCUAGUAGUCCAAAUUUUAGAUUAUAAUUCUGUUUCAAAAAUCCAUUCAGGACAACGCUAGCUAAACAUGGUUCCGAACGAAAAAAUACAGAAACGAUUUAGGCAUUGCUUGCGUAUCUCAUCUUGUAAAAACGUACAACUUACAAUACACUUAAUUUCGAACAUUGUUUGAGUAUCUCAUCUUCUUCGUUGAAAGGCAACACCGCAGGGUGGAUAUCUGCGGGUAGCCAUCAUUUCGUUUCUUGGUUGUAUUGCUUCAUAUACUCGUAAAUUUUUAUCGACUCCAAGUUUCUUAAAGACAUCCAUAAUUUGAACAACAAAAGGAUUUCAUUACUUUCGAUAUCUACGUACACAUGUACUUGUUGUUGCCUUCCGUGACCGAAACCAUACUCUUCACAUAUACAACGGGCGAAUGAUUUGCUUUGCACAGUGGCAAAUAAUACGGUUGCGGAGGAAAAAUGGGAUUGAUCCUUACAGCACUUUGAAUGGGAAGAUUUUUAAGCUUCUUAGUACGGAAGUUAUAGCAGACUAUGCCUCCAUUUUCCUCUACUGUAAGAACCUCGUCGCUUUUCCACAUUGGCAAGCCUCCAUUUCCCUCUACUGUAAGAACCUCGUCGCUUUUCCACAUUGCCAAUGUGGAGUACAGGGGCAAGCCGGACCUUGAGAAUGAUGGGAUCUUGGCAGCAAAGUGUUUUGUCCAAACACCACCCGCAUUUUUCGGACCACCACCAGAAUCAUCAUCCAUUAGCCACAAUUCAAAGGGUGGUGUAUCACCAUCUUCAAAGGUAUUACGAUUCAAGCGAAAGAGAGCGAUGGAUUCAUUCCACACCUUAAGACGCAUUUCAAUACCAAUUCCUUCGAAAUUGUUGAACUCUACCAUCUCAUGUGGUAACAGUAUGUCAUGAAACACCUCACGACUCAUGUCAAACCAAACGAUCACUCGCCUAAUUUUUUCUUGCUCGGGAUAGGUGACAUCAUAGCUAUCGGCAAAUUCCUUUUGUUGCUCACUUCCUAUCCAAUAACACAUCCCCUUGAAGUACACCUGAAAAGUUUCAGGCCAAAGGAAAGUAGUUUCCGUUUCUAAAGAAUAAGGCUCGAUCUCCCUCCAAGAAUUAGUUCCUAGGGUAUACACUACUACCUUGGGAGGAUGAAUAAUCAAAUGUUCUGUGCCGCCAUGCAAUUCUGAACCAGAAAAUCCAAUUUUGACAACUUUGUAAUCUUUAGAUUUAGGAUCAUAGCCUAAUCCCAAAACAUCGUCGAACCGAUCUGUUAGUGGCAUGUAAGGCAUAGACAACCACCAAGGAUGAGGAUCCCUAAAGGAUGCUUCGUCGAACCAAUCUGGACUGUAUGUCUCCGAGGGAAGGACCCUGAAUUCCUGAAUUGCCGGAUUCCACAAAAGCACCUUAGUAGAAUUAGGACGAGCUAGACAAAUGAUCCCAUCACAAUGACCUAUAACAUGAAAUGAUUGAUCAUCUCCAAUCUCCAGACUCAUAGAAAGAGGAAUAUUGACGUCCUCGAUCCCAGAAAGAGUGCUACACUUGUGCACACCACCAUCGUCAUCAUCAACAAUGACAUUGUCAAAAGUAAGUACUGAGAAUACGGAUUGAAAUUUGUCCCCAUUUGGGUCCUCCGUAGAAGGGACUAACAUUCGCUUCAGAAGGACACGAGUGGACUGAUCGUCCAGCAAGGAAUGGGAGAGGUGCUUGUCGACGAACCUGGGGUCGUUGAUGAGAGCAUGCCACCAUUUAGCGACGCACUUGAAUCGCAUCAGAGAUUUCGGAGGCAGAGUUGACAGAUAUUCACCAACAAAUCUUGUCCGAUUUUGGAUGUUUUGUUCGUCAUUUGUGCAAUGUCAAUUAUGGACCUCACCCUUGUUCUACGAUACACACAAAGACCAACACAACAAGAUCAGAAGAUUCCACAAUUACACAUUCUCUCUAAUUAAGCAUAUUCUCAAAAGCUCAUCAUCAUCUGGUAUUGCUAUUUCUUGUUAAAAAAAAAAAAAAAAACUCAUGGAUACAUUCAAAAAUUUAGCCCUACUGAAAAUGCCAAUUGAAAUUCAAAAGCGAAAUAAGAAUCGAAGCAAAAAAAGUAUCCUUCUUUCAUUUAAAAAAAAAUAUAAAAACUGAAAUUGAAUAAUAAAAAGUUAGAAAUGAGGUUACCUUGUUGUAGACUAGGCAGUAGGAAGAGGAAGAGACCGAAGCAGAAGCAGCGCUGUGAGUGAGAGGGAAAGGGGCAGACUCGGCGCAGAAAAUGUAUUUUCUGCGUUUUGUUCGUGCAGCUGCGUGCGAUAAUGCGAUGGCAGAGAGGGGUUUUUAUUUUGAUUCUUGUGCGACCGAUUUCCACACCCUCCCAAAUUUACGAACUUACGCUCCCAAAUUCGGCCGCGGUUUGCAGUCUUCAAUUCCGUGUCUUAAUUGUGUAUGUUCUCUUAACUUUUUAACAGAUGUCUAUAAACUUAACUUUUAAUUUAACGGUGCUAUCUUUUCAAAAGACUAAUAUAACAAAUAAAAAGAAAUAAAAGAAAAACAAAAGGUGCCUAACUCUCCACCUACCCCAUAACACUAUUGAAUUGGUGUUAUCACUGUUUAAUUUAACGGUGUUAUCUUUUUAGGGGAUACUGUCGUUUUUCUUUAAUUUUUAGUUUUUUUCUUCAAAUGUUAACACUGUUGAAUUGGUAUUAAGUUGAAGCAUGAGUCACUAAGUUAGAAAGAAGACAUGACGAAGACACUAGUUUAUGGACAUCAGACUCUUGGGCCUCAAUUUGUAAAUCAGAUUAAUAGUCUCCGUGGUGAUAGAGUAUUCGGAGGAAAGUCUAUGUAGUAAAAAGAUUGCCGAGCUCUUCCAGCGGCUCUACUCCAAGCCCAGCCGUGACGCCUGCUCCCUCGUUUGCAAGCGCUAGCUUGCCCUCGAGCGCCUCAGCAGCACUGCCCUUUGCAUUGGCGGCCGACCGGUAUAUCGAUAGCUUAUUUGUUGGGUUCGUUAGGCAAGUGGGCAAGAAGAUUCGCCUACAGCAGCUGAUGCAGAUUCAGAAUUGUUAUUCUUGGGACUCAACCCAAAGACACAUCUGUUCUCAAAGUGCGUGACGUUUCGUGUGCUUGGGCGAGACCCACUCUUAUUUUUCAGUUUUGGUUUUCAGUAUAAGUAUUUUAACUUCAUUUCCUCUAGUUAUUUGUUUUUGUCGUUAUAAAUGUUUUUGGAAAAGUAUUUCUGUUUUCAUUUUUAAGUUGAUUCGAGCUUUUCAUCUAUAUGUUAGUACAUAUCUAUUUUGACGUUAUCUGACCUUAAAUUAUUUUGUGUUUUCGACUUUAUAUUUUAUUAAAGUAUGUUUUCUACUUUUACACUGAUGGGGAAAGAAAGUAUGAGCCUGGGGGCACGAAAGAUGGAAUCAUUGCAGCCAAUUGCGACGGCGUGGCAUUUUCCCUUUUGUGUAACCGCUCUUACCUAAUAUCUUCGUUACAUAUAUGUAUAUUAUUCUUCUUCCUAUUUUCGAAUAUUUUCAGUCUAGUAAGUGAUUUUAAAUUUCGAGGACGAAAUUAUUUUAAGGGGGGUAGAUUGUUACAACCACCCCCAAAUAAUUACACCAUUUGUUAUUUCCACCCCCAGCUGCCACGUGUCAAUCAUUAAACCUCCCCUAUUUUCCCUCUCUACGUCCCCUCACCCCCGUGACCUUCUUCUUCUUCGUCUCUCUCUCCCAAAGCUCUCUCAACUCUCCCUGUAGCUCUCUCUCUCAACCUCUCGCAUCUCUCUCUCCCUGGACUCACUAGAACCUUAGCACCUUCAGGAGAGGCUUGUAGCAAGCCUAGGACCCCUCUGCCCGCGAGAUCGAAGACACGGAGCAAAGCUCCGGUGAGCUUUCUUCCUUUUUAAGUGGGGGUAAGUCUCGAAUCCCUCAUUCUCGUACCUAGCUUAAUGUUUGGUUAUGAUUUAGAAGCUUGAACCUUCUAUUUUUACGUAGAUUUUGCUUCGGAAAUCAUUGUGGGUGAGCACACCCAUUUUCCGGCGAACCCAUGGACUUUGGAGGCUUUUCCGGUCACCUCCGACCGAGUUACGGUGUUUGGAAGGUAGAAAUCUCUCUCUCUCUUGGUUCUUCAUGUUUGUACCUAGAUUGGAGCUCGAAGCUUUCGUUUUCAAGUGACCGGAGCUGUAGCAGCUCCGGCCUUCUCUCUCGGCAAACCAGGCCAUCCGGCCUUUCCCAUUUCCUCCCCUCGGGCCUUAGGCCCGUGUUGUCUUAAGCCCAAAACCCUAGCCCCCUUUAGUUUUUUUUAAGCUUUGUUAAUUGGUUUUUAAAACCCAAAAAGGGCUCGGGCCUUAUAUAAUUUGGCCUUGGGCCGGUUAUAUAUUAAAGGGCUUAAAGCCCUGUCCUUUUUAAUAAGGCCUUAAGGCCUUUGUGUUUUGGUGGUGUGUGUGUGUUUGGGGAGUGUAUAUGUUUGGGCUUAAGCCCAAACCCCAAUUCUCACCUUAAUACCCUUUUAACCCAAAAACCCUAGGUUUCUAAAACCCAUUUAAAACCCUAAACCCAUCCAAUCCCAAAUCCCCUAUUUUAUUUAAUUCAAACCCAAUCUUUUAGAAAAUCCUUUUAUUUAUCUAUUACAUUUUUGUGCUUAGGUAAAGUUGCUAGUGGAGAAAUUCUAUAUCCUUAUUCACGCGAUUCAUCUGCUAAAGAAUAUUUGUGAGUGGACCCUUUCUAAAAUUACAUGAUUUUAUAAUUUAAUUGCAUAAAUGAUUAGUAUGCCUACGGAUUUAUGAAUUGAUUUAUGUUAAGCCUGUUUUUGGAAUUUAUUGAUUUCGUCUCGUGUUUUGGUGAGGAAAUAAAUUGCUAGCCUAGUUUGAGCUAUAUUUUAAUACAUCGUAUUUUCUAUAAAAACCAUGAACUGGUAGACUAUUUGAUGGAUGACGAUAGGAUGCUAGAACAUGUUUUAGAAACCCCUCUUUAUAGUAUAGACAAUGGAUGACUUUAUACUAUGAAGUGGUUAUUUAUGAGAGGCGUAACUAUUUGUGCGUACCUAGCAGACACUAUGCCGUCUGGGGCGAGGAACUGGUGUUGGCAUUUAGGCCGGGAGAAAUAAUCCCUAGCUACGGGCUGAGGGACAUGGAGCAAGCAUUGGGCCGGGAGUUGGUAAUCUCUGGUUACGGGCGCAGAGACCACGGAGCAGGUAUUGGGCCGAGAGUUAUAUUUAUUUAGUGAUCUUUCUAGCAGCACACCACGUUUACGAGAUGAUUUAUGAUGCGUUUACUGUUUUGAUUUCUGCAAUGAUAUUCCACGAUGUGAUUUUUGAGAUAUUUGGCAUGCUAGGUUUUUUAUUAAAUUCAUCACUUAUUAUGCUAGUAGUUUUCAUUUAUAUAAACUUUGGGGGUUAGUAUGUUGAUAACUAAUUUAUUAUUAUUGUAUAUAUAAACUUGGUCCACUCACCUUUGUUUUGCGCCCCCAUUCAGGACUUAGGAUUAAGGCACUUAAUCCCGGCGUGAAGGCACUUCCGCAGCAGCAUCUUCAGAUCGUCUCGAAUGUAGGACUCACUCCUUUAUUCAUUAAAUUUUAUCUUAAUUCUUCUUAGUGAUUAGGUUUAGUUGUAUGCUCUGAGCAUGUUCCUAAACCUUUUAACUCUUAGUAUUUUAAAUUUCUAACCCGUAUUUAUUUCUUAUUCUUAGCUUUUGUAUCAAUUAAUGGCUUUCGUCACCCUCGGGUGUCGGCCAUCACGUGUCUAUCCUGGUAUUCGGGUAAUAUCAGGAUCGGGGCGUGUCAAAUUCGGCUGUAGUUUGCUGUCGCCAAUUCAGUGUCUCAUUUGUGUUUGCUCUCUAACUUUUUAACAGCGGUCUAUAAACUUAACUUUUAAUUUAACGGUGCUAUCUUUUCAAAAGACUAAUAUAACAAAUAAAAAAAAUAAAAGAAAAACAAAAGGUGCCUAACUCUCCAACUACCCAAUUACACUAUUUAAUUGGUGUUAUCACUGUUUAAUUUAACGGUGUUGAAGCAUGUGUCACUAAGUUAGAAAGAAGACAUGACGAAGACACUAGUUUAUGGACAUCAGACUCCUGGCCCUCAAUUUGUAAAUCAGAUUAAUAGUCUCCGUGGUGAUAGAGUAUUCGGAGGAUAGUUUAUGUAGAUCACUGAGGUCUUCCGGCGGCUCGACUCCAAGCCCAGCUGUGAUGCAUGCUCCCUCGUCUGCAAGCGCUAGCUCGCCCUCAAGCGCCUCAGCAGCACCGCUCUCUGCAUUGGUGCCACCGGCAGCUCAGACUUCGUCGUCGGCCUCUUCACUGCUAAUUUCGCAACGUUCGCGCCGUUCACCUUGAUGAGCACCUUAACCUUUCGUCGAUGAGGCUGCAUUUUGUUUGAGAAAAUGAAUUUCAUUGAUUAAGAGAAUAAAAUUACAAUGUUGUGGUAUGUGUAUAUAUAUAUACACACACUCUCACAUAACUUUAACCUUCUAAACACCUUGCGACCUAUACAACAAUCUCAACUAAUUACUAAUCUAAUACAACAACCAAAACAAACAAACUAGCUCUAAGUUUUAUCACCAAUUGAAUCUUUAACAAUACUAUCCAUAACAUCCCCCCUCAAACUAAACUGAGGAGUUCAAAGGGACAGUUUGGAUUUUAAGAGCUGAAACCGGUCUUUGGAAAGAGAUUUUGUGCAUAUAUAUGAAAUUUGAUUUUGAGUGCAGAUAAAAUGGACUGAGAUGGCCUUCGAUAACAACUUUUCUCGAAUGUUGUGGUAGUUGAUCUCUACAUGCUUUGUUCUAGCAUGAAACAAAGGAUUUUUGGCAAGAGAGAUAGCUAAUUGAUUAUCACACUAGAGUUGAGGAGUACAUGUGUAACAACCCGUCCCAAUUUUUUACGGAACGAAAGGGUAAUGUUGUAAUUUCAUGUUGGGUUAGGAUAUUGGUUUAAAAUAUUGUUUUUGAGGGCCUAAAUAGGUGUGCCCAAGGGGCCCACCUAUGGAGUUUGUUCGCGACCCUCUCCCUUGUCUCUCUCUCUUUCUUCCCUCCUAUGAGUCUCACUAUCUUUUUCACUUUAUCUCUAUCACUCUUACUUCUCUCCCUUCUCUCUCGGCAAGUACCGAAGGGUGCCAUGGGGGAAAGCACCACCAGAGAAACCACCCAUUUCACCCUAUAGACCUUACGAGCUCGAACUCGAGCCCUGUUACGUAGGAAAAACCGAGCCGUGAGACUCUAACUCCAAGCUUCGACGAGAACAAAGUUCCUCGACGCGACUUUGAAUGAUUUUGUAACCUUUUUGGUUUGGGUAAGCCUCAAAACACUCCAAAUGCUUAUCUUUUCGUCCCUAUAGUUCUUUUCUAACCACGUUGUUGUGUUUUGAACAUCAAAAUACGAAGAAACACCUCGAAGGACUAUGUUCAAUGGUUUUGUGCUUAUCUAGUGGUCACUAUACCGCCACGGGUGAGGAUUAUAGUUGUUGGCUGCGGGCUAAGAGAAAUAAUCUCUGGCUACGAGUGCAGAGACAUAAAAGCGGGCAUUGGGUCAGGAGAUAAUAUUAUUGGAUACCACUAUGUAUCACACUAUAUAGGAGAUAUGUUUUAUGAAGGUUUUAUGACAUGCUACGAUUUUCGGAAAACCUAUUACAUAUUAUACUAUUGAAUUUCCAUAAAACUUUGGUGGUUAGUAUGUUGAUAAAAGUUUUAGUAAGUGUGUGUGUAUAUAUAUAUAUCAACUUGGUCCACCCAUGUUUGUUUUAUGCCCCAUCAGAACUUAGAAUCGCUGCGUACAAUCUCGACGUCAAGGCAUUUCCGCUUCGGCAGCUUCGAGUCCUCUUAGUGUAGGACCCAUUCCUUUGCUCCUUCAAUGUUAUAUUAUUUUCUUUUUAGUGUUCUAGAUUAGUUGUAUGCUCCGAACACGUUCAUCAUUUGCAUAUUAAAUAUAAUUAAAUUUAUAAGUCUUAUAUAUUUCGGGUUCUCAUGCAUUCUAAUAUGGCUUCGUCACCUUCGGGUAUCGGCCAGCACGUUCUUACCCUGAUGUUUGGGGAAUAUCAAGGUCGGGCAUGUCAACAUGGAAGAUGGAAACCAAUAUCAGCAAGUAAUUGACAUAUCCAUGUAAUUUCAUCUAUAGUAUUAGCUAAAGAUCGAUACUCUGCCUCUGUUGAAGAACGAACCACUGUUGAUUGCUUCUUAGCAUUCCAACCGAUGAUAGAUGAACCCAGAAAAUACAAUAAGUGCUAGUUGAUCUUCGAUGAAGUGUGAAAGCUGCCCAGUCAGCAUCUGAUAAGGCUUUGAGAGAUGGAAUAGAGACAGAUUUUGUAAACCAAAGACCAAUGUCAAUGGAACCCUUAAGAUAUCGAAUGAUCCUUUUGACAACUUGAAAAUGAGACUGCCUUAGACUAUGCAUGAAUUGACUGUAAAUGAUAAUUUUGGCCGAGUCCAAGUAAGAUAUUGUAAUGAACCAACCAAAGGUCGAUAUCUGCAGGAUUAUCAAACAAUGGAGAAGAAAGAUCCAUCUUGGAUGUACUGAGUGGGGUAGCACAUGGUUUUGCUCCAGCCAUGUUAGCCUUCUUUAAUAGAUCCAAGAUAUACUUUGUUUGUGAAAUGAAGAUGCCUUUGGAGGAUCGCUUGACUUCAAUUCCCAGAAAAUAAUGAAAUGCACCAAGGUCUUUAAUAAGAAAGAGAUAGCUAAGUUGAGAAAUAACAUGCUUGCAAGCUGCUGCAGAUGGCCCUGUGACAGUAAUGUCAUCAACAUAUAUCAGAACAAAGACCAUAAGAUCCCUUUUGACAAACAAUGAAUGAUCUAAUUUGGAACCAGUGAAGCCAAAAGUGUGUAAUGCUCCAUGGAGUUUUUCAUACAAGGCUCGGGGAGCCUGUUUAAGACCAUAUAGGGAUUUAUGCAAUUGACAACAUGAGUAGGAUGAAUAACAUCUUCAAAACCAGGCGGCUGUUGCAUAUAAACAGAUUCAGACAAUGUCUUACGCAGAAAAGCAUUGCUUUCAUCUAGUUGAUUGAGACUCCAAUCAAAUUGGGCAGCAAGAGUGAGUAGGAGUCGAAUUGUCACAGGCUGGGCUACUGGACUAAAAGUCUCAGUAUAAUCAAGUCAUUCUUACUGAUGAAAACCUUUGGCAACUAAGCAAGCUUUGUACCUAUCUAUGGUACCAUCAGGUUUUGCUUUUAAUCCUGAUAACCCACUUACAUCCUACAAUGUUUUGAUGAGCAGUUUUGGGUACUAAGGACCAAGUACCAGUUUGUUGUAAGGCAAGAAACUCCUCCUGCAUUGCCUUAACCCAAUGUGGAUAUUUGGAAGCUUAGAGAUAUGUAGUGGGAACAAAUUCAUUGGAAAGAUAAGAAAUGAGAGGAUGUUUGGUUGCAGAAAAGGCUUUUGGUUUGUAAAUACCAGAUUUGGACCUGGUUUGCAUAAGGUGAGUAUUAGUAUGAACCGAGUGAGAUGUAGGUAUAAGAGAUAUAGGUAUAAAGGUUGUUAGAGAAUAUAGGAGAUUGAGAUGAUGGUAUAGGGGAAUAGAUCUGUGGUUAAGUGAAUGUGAGGUGCAUGGGAAUGGUAUUGAGAGAUGAAGCUGCUACUGAGGAAAGAGAGCACUGUGAAGCUACAAUAGUGUGAAAGGGAAAAUUGCCUUUAUCAAAGAUCACAUUUCGUGAGAUGUAUAACUUGUUGCUAGUGAGAUCCAAACAUUUGUAACCUUUGUGGUUGAGGCUAUAACCAAGGAAUACACAGAGCUUGCUUUUGGGAUCCAAUUUAGACUCAUAGUAAGGUUGCAACCAUGGAAAACAACUACCCCCAAAAACCUUCAAGGUGGCAUAGUUAGGUGAUAUGUGGAAGAGACGUUCCUAUGGAGACAAUCUGGAUACAGUAGGUAAUCUGUUUAUGAGAAACAUAGCAGUGGAAAAAACAUGAUCCCAAUAGCUGUGAGGGACCUUAGAAACUGUUAAAAGUGUUCUGGCAGUCUCAACUAUGUAUAUGUGCUUAGGUUCAACACAACUAUUCUGUUGAGGGGUGUAUAGAUAACUUAGUCAAUGAUUGAUACCAUUCUCAAUAAAGAAAUUAGAGCAUUGAGUGCUAAGAUAUUCCCCACCAUAAUAUGAUCUAAGAGCAGCAAUUUUAGUAUGCAACAAGUUCUCAACAAGACUUUUGAACUUAACAAAAGUAGGAAACACAUCAGAUUUAUAUUGCAAAGACAAAGCCAACAAUAUUUUGUAAAAUCAUCUACAAAUAUGACAUAGUAUCUGAAAUUGUUCGCAGAAAUGAUAGAUGUUGGCCCCUAAACAUCUGUGUGAAGUAGCUCUAAAGGUUUACUGGUAUGAAAAGUAUCUGGAAUUGUUCACAGAAGUGACAGAUGUUGGCCCCCAAACAUUUGUGUGAAGUAGCUUCAAAGGCUUACUGGUAUGACAAGUUACAUAAGCAAAUGGCAAUCUAGAACUUUUGCUUAAGGUACAACCAUUACAGAAAGACUUAUUGGAACCAUUAGAAAAAGAAAUAAAAGACUUAGUAACCAACUUAUUGAGAAUCUUCACCGAAUGAUGGCCAAGUCUUUGGUGCCAAAUAUUUUUGGAUGUGUUAACAGAAGCAGCAAACACAUUGUGAUUAUGGAUCACAAAACUGGAAGGCUGUGGUUGAAAUGGAUAGAAGCCAUCUCUCACAGGACCUUUAAAGAGCAUCUUCCCCGAAGAAAUAUCCUUCACAGUGAAAUGAAAAUGAUAAAGAUACAUAGAACACCAAUUGUCAACAAGAAACGGAUUUGCAGAAAGCAAAUUUUGUUUCAAAUCAGGAACAUGUAACAUAUUUCGAAGUUGAAAAUUAUGAUGAGGAGUAUUUAAUGUAGAAAAACCAGAGUGGAGAAUAGGAAAACCUUUAAAAAGUGUUGUAAGAAUUGGUCAUGUGAAUACUAGCACCGGAGUCAACAAUCCAAGUAAGUUGAGGAGAAUGUGUGCUUGCAGCCAUAACAGAAUGAGAAACAUUGCUGGAAUAAUGUGGAUUCAUGCGCUGGGGACACUCGAUUGCAUCAUGCUCAAACUAGCGACAAAUUUGGCAUGGAAUCCUCCUUCCUGAGAAAUUGAAGGAUGAUCAACCACCACGGUUGUAGUGCUGAGAAUUGUUGGGAGAAGAAUUUGGACAAUUGUUGUUAGAACGGAAGUUGCUUCGUCCCUGAAAGUUUCUAGGGUUGGAGAAACCAUGAUCGCCACCACGACCUUGAGAGAAAUUAUGAUCACCACCACGACCUGGAGGAUUAUGUUAAGCAACAAAAUCCUGAGAAGGCGAAGUAGGAAGAAUGCCGGCGGUGGAGUUGUAUGCCUGAAUUGACACUAUCGAAGUAGUUUUCUUCCGAUUUGUUAGCUGAAUCUCUUUAUUGAGAAGGAGACCAUGCAGCAUCAAGUGUGGUGGAACCAAGUCGGAAUUGUAUCGCAUCAACAAAGAUUCGUACUCUGGUGGUAACUCAUGAUGUGUGAUAGAGGUUAAUUCAGAAUCCUCAACUGGAGCACCGACACUAGCAAAAGCAUCAGUGAUCUCUUCAAUUUGUUGAGGAUAUUGGGCAGCUAUGGAAUCGCCAUUCGAAAUGCUGUGCAGACAUGAUCAGAGCUCGUGGAUGUACAAUUGAGACGUCGUCGCAAGGCGUGACUCCAAUCUUGCCUAAAGCUCUCUGGAUGUAGUAACUCCAACAGUGUAAGGUUGAUCGAUUUAGAGAACGUGGAAUUGAUCCAAAUGAGGAUGUUCUUAUCGUUCUCGAACCAAUAAACAUAUGCCGGAUUCAGAAUUUGAUUUCCAACAGCAUCAGUGAUGAAUUAAGAUGGAGGAGGCAUCGAUCCAUCAAGAAUUCUAGUGAGAUUAUAGUGAAGGAAGAUCGGAGCAAACAAUGCACUCAAGGUGAGAUAAUUGGUCGGAGUCAGCUUGAUCGGCACCAUGGAUCUGAUAUUCUAGAUCGUGAUUGAAGGUGUGGAAAGAGUAUAACUCGAAUUUGAAAGAGGAUUACGAUGAAUUUGUGUUACAAAUUCGGAAGAGGGAGAAGCUGAGGUCUCCAUGGGAGAAAGUUAGGGUUUGGCAGUGAAAGCUUAGCGAAGAAGCUUAGGAAGGAAGAAAGCUUAGCGAAGAAGCUGGAGAAGGGAAAGCGUGGAUUGGAUCAAGUCGGUAGACAGAAGGUGGGUGAUACCAUGUUAGACAAAAUUAAUUUCAUUGAUUAAGAGAAUAAAAUUACAAUGUUGUGGUGUGUGUGUGUGUGUGUGUGUGUGUGUGUGUAUAUAUACUUUCACAUAACUCUAACCUUCUAACCACCUUGCCACCUAUACAACAAUCUCAACUAAUUACUAGUCUAAUACAACAAUCACGACAAACUAAGUAGCUUUAAGUUUUAUCACCAAUUGAAUCUUUAACAAUACUAUCCUUAACACAUUCUGCCAAUGGCUCCAACAACAUGCUUGAUUUGAAUAGCUUAUAGGAUGCCAGUAUGACUGCUAUCAGCGACAGAUUUCCCGGGCUCGAAAAUCUGAGCUUAAUCUGGUGCUCCAAUGCCUUUAGUAUCGGUCUAAUUUUGCUGAUAAGUGUAAAUUGUUGAAAUCAUUGGAUUUGUUAGAGUUGAAUUUGAAUGCUUGAAGCCUGCAAUUCUUCGUUUGAAUACUUAACUAGAAAUUAUUGGUACAUUCCUAAAUGGGUUACAUUUGGGGUACUGUCUUGCAAUCUUGUUUUGAAUACUACCCCAAACUUUUUUUUUGAACAAACGAUAUUAUCUACACCAAUGAUGACUACAAUCCCCUGAGUUUAUCUUUUGUUGACCCUAAAAACUAUUUGGGCCUAAACACCUUCCCAUGUAUGCCUCUUAGCCACCAAAAUAAUCCAUCAGCUAGCUCAAUUUGCCCUUCACAGUAGUUGUUUUUGUUGUUUAGUUAAGGAUUUCUAGAAAUUAGAAACUUUUUUUUUUUGUUCCCUCAUUUAUGGCUUGUUAAUACAAGCUAUCGUUGCAUACAUAUAAAAAAAAAGAAAGAUGUAGCCUUAAGCCAACCAUAUUUUUUAAAAUUAUUAUUAUUAAAUGGACGAUUCAAAACUUUUAUAAUAACUUAGAUGAGGAGGGAUGUUCGAACCUAACACGCAAGGUACAAAUCAACUUCCAAUCUACUAGGAUAAUGGACCACAUGCAUUAUGCCUAACCAUAUAAAUAUCAUGGAUUGAUAGCCUUACUCGAUAAUUUCUUGUAAAACGAUCUUUGAAUCUCAAAAAUUGGUAAAAUUUAUUUAUUUUAAUACAUUCGAUAUUAUCUAUACUAAAGGGUCGAAGAAUGGCCAAACCUCACAGCGGCUAGUAAUAUUUCUUUUGUUUUAAUGCCUUUAGUCACAUGUAUAAGGAAAUUUAUAUUUCGUUCAUUCACUAAUCACCCAAGAAUCAUAUUCAUAAAGUAAUUAUCCAAAAUUUAAAACAAAACACCAAUAAAUAAUCCAAAUACAUAGAAAAAAAGUAAUGCUAGGAAGGCUAAAUUUGUAAACAAAAUUUGCAAACCAAAUGAUGUGUCACCAAUAAGGAAUGAUCACAUUUAUCCUUUUUUAAUUAAUAAUCCAAUCAACAACUUCAAUGUCAUUUAAUUCACAAAAUUGUCUUUAAAUUUAGUCUCCCUAAGGACCCUAACAUUACUCCAUAGAAAAUUGUUGAAAAACUUGAACCAAAUAUUAAGAGGGCGUUUAGCCAAUAGGGGGAACUCGGACACAUGUUGGUCCCUGUUUAAAAGUUUUAAUCUUCCAUCGGUGUAGAUGACUUUUGAAAAUAAAAAAACUACAUAGUGGAAUGUUCGGGAUUAUCAACUUGAACAAAGUUAGUCUGUAUGACUUUACGACGUGAAUGAUACUUAGCAACAACAUGAGCAAGUGCUCGGCAAAUGCAUGACCAAUAGUCCUUGGAACCACAACGGUAACAUAUGUCUAUUUCUAUGGUGGUUGUGCCUUACCUUUAUUCUUGAGGUUGAAAGAUUUGGGAUCUAGAGAAUCGCGCUUUGAAACCACAACGGUAACACAUGUUUAUUGGACCCCAAAAGUGUGGCAAGCGGCGUUCGUUAUGGGAAGCUGAGAUAUCCACCAAAACAUGAAGCCACAGGGUAUUCUCUUGUUUACAAUCAGCUCCACCCUUUUGAAGGCUUCCAAAAUUACACUUCCGGAAUCAUCCACCAUGUUCGUCUCACAGGUUUGAUUUCGUUUACUUCUUAUUUUCUUCAAAGUUUCAAUGGAGAAUUACAAAGUUGGGUUUUGCUGAAAUGACUGAACUUUUAAAUCCCCCAAACAUAAGUUUUGAUGGAAUGUGGUUCUUCUGAUAAGUUGGUGAUCUAAUUGUUGUUUUGAUGUAGGGUUGAAACUGAAUACACUGUAUUUUUAACGAUGCGGGGAUCCUUCUAUACCUGCAAUGAGUGAAAUCCACCAGUUCAAGACUAUGUCAGUUUCUGGUCCUCGGAGCUACCCUGAGAGAAUAGCGGUUGUGGGAGACAUUGGCCUUACAACACAACUACCACAAUAAGUCACUUGACAAGUAACAAUCCUGAUCUUGUUUUGUUGAUUGGUGAUGUUACUUAUACAAACCUCGACCACACACAAAUGGAACUGGCUCUGACUGCUAUUCUUGCUCAUUUCCAAACUCUCCGAUACAUGAGACCUAUCAGCCUCGAUGGUUUUACUGGGGAAGGUUAAAAUAUAAAUUGCUUUAUUUCUAUCAUAGGCAAUGGCUGCUGUAAAUUAUGGCAUAGAACUUGUUUUCUUAUGUUGUCAUUGCUGGGUAAUUUGUGUAGGUAUAUGCAGAGUUUAGUGUCCAAAGUUCCAAUAAUGGUUGUUGAAGGGAACCAUGAAAUAGAAGAACAGACUGAAAAUAAGACUUUUGAGGCUUAUAGUUCUCGGUUUGCAUUCCAAUCUGAAGAAAGCGGAUCUUCGUCCACAUUCUACUACUCAUUUAAUGCAGGGGGGAUUCAUUUUAUCAUGCUUGGAGCCUACACUGACUUUAGCAAAUCAAGUAAUUAAAGUUUGCCUAAUUUUUGAGCUCAUUCCUUGCCUAAAUAUUCGUAUUUUUGCAUUUCUUUUUCUUUACAAAUGGUUUCGUUAUUGUUUCUAUCCCCAUUAAUCAGUGAUUUCUUUGCCUACAGGGAAACAAUACAAGUGGCUGGAGCAAGAUUUGGCUAAUGUGGACAGAUCUGUUAAAAGUUAAUGCUUUACUUAAACUGAUUCUGCUAUACUGAAACUGAUUCUGUGUAAAAGGGCUGACUGUUGCCUUUAUCAGUCGACCCAUUCUCUUUCUCAGUCGACCCAAUUACUUCAGUCGGCUUAUGUAUUGAGCCAUAUAUAUCAGAAAUAUCUGAAUGAAAAUAUCAAAUCUCUGUUUUAAGUAAAAAACAUCAGCCCUCUGUUUCCAAAAAAGCUCUCUGCACUCUGUUUCUUUGAUUUUCAAUCUUUAUCAUUUUAUUCAAGUUUUAUUAAUGAUGAAAGAUUGUCUAAUACCAACAUGGUAUCAGAGCCAAUCUGAUCAAAGAGUGGGGCGUUUUUUUUUAUUCUCAAAAAAGGGGAAAAUUCCAAGUGAAACCCUAGAAUCAAAAUUUUUCAAAUUCAUGGUUGGUUCAAGUAGCAGUGGUGAGAUUCGAACUCCUAUCUUCAGUGGAGUAAACUACGACUUCUGGAGGACAAAGUUGAGAACAAUUUUUGUAUCUCAUGAUUUGUGGAGCUUGAUUGAAGAUGGCUAUGUUGUACCUCCAAGCAAUGUGGUUUUGACAGAGACUCAAACAAGGGAGUUGAAGGUAAACAUCAAGAGAGAUGCAAAAGCUCUUGGGGUCAUCCAAAAUGCUAUCUCAGAUGAAAUUUUUCCGAGAAUCUCAAAUGAGACAAGUGCCAAAUCAGCUUGGGAUAUGCUGGAGAAAGUCUACAGAGGUUCUACUAAGGUAAGGGCUGUCAAACUCCAAUCUUUGAGAAGAGAUUUUAAGUAUAUAAGAAUGAAAGAUGAGGAAUUGCUAGAUGAUUACCUGAGUAGAUUGUCUGAGAUUAUUAAUCAAAUGAAAAGCUAUGGUGAAAUCUUGUCUGAUGAGAGAAUAGUUCCGAAGUAUCUAAUUAGCUUGCCAAGAAAGUAUGACAACAUAGUUUCAAUCAUAGAGGAGACUAAGGAUUUGUCAACUUUGAGUGUUGAAGAAUUGAUUGGUUCUCUCAAAGGUUUUGCUCAGAGAUUAUCUAGGCAUGACAACAAUGAUGUAGAAAAUGCUUUCCAAACACUUACAGUGAAUCCAAAAACUCAAGCUAGUUCAAGUCAAAGCAAAGCCAACUCCAACAAGAAUUGGAAAGGCAAAAACAAAGCGUGGGAAGGAAAGGGUAAUUUUGAAGACAAGAAAAAGGUUGAGAAGAGUUUGUAUGUUUCGAAGUGCAAAAUUUGUGACAAAGCUCAUUCCGGUGAAAUUGGUUCAAAGGAAAAGUGAAAUGCCACAAGUGUAGCAAAUUCGGGCAUAUGCAAAAGGAUUGUACCUACAAAGAUAAUCAGCUAGCUCACUACACCAAAGCAGAAGAUGAAGAGACCAAUAUGUUUUAUUUUGGUCAUGAUACAACCGUCCAAGAAGAAGCUAAAGUUUGGUUUGUGGACAACGGCUGUAGCAAUCAUAUGACGGCGAAUAAGAACAUUCUCCAUAAUGUUGACACUACAAACCUAACCCGAGUGAAGAUGGGAAAUGGGCAGCUAGUCGAUACAUUGGGAAGAGGUACUAUUGCCGUGCAUACGAAGAAUGGAAAGAUGUUCAUCAAGGAUGUCAUGUUAGUUCCUGAUUUGAAGCAAAAUUUGCUAAGUCUUGGACAACUCAUUGAGCAUGGCUACUACUUAUAUUUUGGAGACAAUACUUGCAAGAUAUAUGAUACGAGGAAUCGUCAAUAACUCGUGGCUAAGAUUGAGAUGAGGAAGAGUAGAAGUUUUCCUCUCACAAUUGAGUAUGCAACUCAAUCUGCAUUCAAGAUGGAAGUGCAAGAAGAUUCAAAGCUAUGGCAUAAAAGGCUUGGCCACUUGAAUUUUCAAAGUCUCAAGAAGCUACAAGAAAAAGAAAUGGUGCAUGGGUUGCCGAGUAUCCAAGAAAAUGAAGAAAUCUGUGAAAGGUGUGCACUUGGGAAGCAUCAUAGAGAUUCAUUUCCACAUGGUAAAGCUUGGAGAGCAAAAGUUCCAUUGGAAUUGAUUCAUACAGAUGUUUGUGGACCCAUGAAGACCUCUACUCAAGUGGGAAACAAGUAUUUCCUAAUCUUCGUGGAUGAUUAUUCCAGAAUGACUUGGGUAUACUUUCUAAGACAGAAAUCAGAAGUGUUCUCAAUCUUCAAGAAGUUUCAAGCUAUGGUUGAGCGACAAUCUGGGUAUCUAAUCAAAGUUCUUAGAAGUGACAGAGGAGGAAAGUAUACAUCCACAGAAUUUGAUAAGUUUUGUCAAGAUAUUGGCUUGGAAAGACAACUUACUGUCAGCUACACUCCACAACAAAAUGGAGUAGCUGAGAGAAAAAACAGAACCAUAGUCGAAAUGGCUAAGGCAAUGUUACAUGACAAGGGAAUACCUCAAUAUUUAUGGGGUGAGGCAGUUAAUACAGCGGUCUACUUGAUGAAUAGGCAUCCAACAGUGGCAGUUGAAGAUAAGACACCAUUUGAGGCAUGAAGUGGAAGAAAGCCUUCCGUGAAUCAUUUGAGAGUGUUUGGGUCAAUCUGCUUUGCUUAUGUUCCGAAAGAACUAAGACAAAAACUUGAUGAGUCAAGUGAAAGAUGCAUUUUCGUAGGCUAUGCUUCAUACACAAAAGGGUACAGACUUUACAAUUUAAAAAGGAAGAAAGUUGUGAUUUGUAGAGAUGUUCUUUUUAGUGAGAAAUCUUCGUGGGAUUGGAAUCAAGCAACCAUCUGAGAAAAAUCUGUACAAAUCAGAAUUGAAGAAGAAAAUCAACCAAAUGAAGAGGAAAUUGAGCCAGAAAUUCCACAAUUAUCACCUGAAAACAGUCCUCAAACUCACUCUCCUACAUUUUCAAGUCCAAGUUCAACGCCGGUUCGAUUAAGGAGCUUAAAUGAAGUCUAUGAAAGCUGCAAUUUUUGUGUUGAAGAACCAGAAAACUUUGAUGAUGCAGUGAAAGAAGAGACUUGGAAGGCUGCAAUGCAAGAGGAGAUCAAUGUCAUUGUGAAAAACAAGACAUGGGAACUAGUGGACAGACAUUGUGACAACUCCGUCAUUUGAGUGAAGUGGAUUUAUAAGACUAAGCUCAAUCAAGAUGGUUCCGUUCAAAGGAACAAAGCUAGAUUGGUAGCAAAGGGUUAUUCUCAGAAACCCGGGAUUGAUUUCCAAGAAACAUUUGCACCGGUAGCUAGGCAUGAAACAAUCAAAGGCCUUAUUUCCGUAGCUGCUCAGAAGGGGUGGUUUCUACACCAACUUGAUGUCAAGUCGGCUUUCCUAAAUGGAGUCCUAAAAGAAAAGGUGUUCGUUGACCAACCUCAAGGAUUUGUUCGUAAAGGACAAGAGCACAAGGUGUAUAAACUUAAGAAUGCACUUUAUGGCUUGAAACAAGCUCCGAGAGCAUGGUAUGGAGAGAUCGACUCAUAUUUCAAUGAAAGAGGUUUUCAAAGAAGUGAGAAUGAACCUGCCCUCUAUGUCAAAACAGAAGGUAUUUCAGAUAUCCUUAUUGUUUCCUUAUAUGUUGAUGAUUUGGUUUAUACUGGAAGUAGUCGUAAUAUGAUCUUGAAUUUCAAGAAUGACAUGAUGAGGAAAUAUGAGAUGAGUGAUCUACGCAUGUUGCAUUAUUUUUUGGGAAUUAGUAUCAUUCAAUCAAAUGAUGGUAUCUUUAUUACUCAAAAGAAAUAUGCAAAAACACUUCUAGAAAAGUUCAAAAUGGUUGGUUGCAAGCCUGUUGCAACACCUCUAGUUGUGAAUGAAAAGUUUCAAAGAGAAGAUGGUAAUGGUGAUGCUGAUGAAUCUGUGUAUAGAAGCCUGGUUGGGAGUUUGUUGUAUUUGACAGCGACUAGACCCGAUAUUAUGUAUGCUGCAAGCUUGUUGUCCAGAUUUAUGCACAAGCCUACUUGCAUUCACUAUGGAGCUGCAAAGAGGAUCCUAAGAUACAUACAAGGUACACUUGACUUUGGUAUUAUGUAUGAAAGGAAUGUUAAGCCCAAAUUGUAUGGGUUCUGUGAUAGUGAUUGGGGAGGUAGUGUGGAUGACUUGAAGAGCACAUCUGGCUAUACUUUUACAUUAGGGACUGGUGUAUUCUCUUGGGCAUCUAAGAAACAGAAAUCAGUUGCACUAUCAACGGCAGAGGCUGAGUAUGUGUCGGCUUCAAUUGCAACUUCUCAAGCAGUGUGGCUGAGAAGAAUUAUGCAAGAUUUUGGUGAGAAACAAGAAUCAGCAACUCAUAUCUUUUGUGACAAUAAGUCAGCUAUUGCCAUGAGCAAGAAUCCUGUCUGUCAUGGUAAAUCAAAGCAUAUUGCUCUGAAGCAUCACUACAUCAGAGGUGCUGUGAAAGACAAGGAAGUGGAUGUGGUCUACUGCAAGACAGAAGAUCAAGUUGCUGAUAUCUUCACCAAGGCAUUACCAAAGGACAGAUUCAUCUACCUAAGAGAACUUUUGGGAGUGAAGCAGCAAAGCAUUAAGAGGGAGUGUUAAAAGUUAAUGCUUUACUUAAACUGAUUCUGCUUUACUGAAACUGAUUCUGUGUAAAAAGGCUGACUGUUGCCUUUAUCAGUCGACCCAUUCUCUUUAUCAGUCGACCCAAUUACUUCAGUCAGCUUAUGUAUUGAGCCAUAUAUAUCAGAAAUAUCCGAAUGAAAAUAUCAGAUCUCUGUUUUAAGUAAAAAGCAUCAUCCCUCUGUUUCCAAAAAAGCUCUCUGCACUCUGUUUCUUUGAUUUUCAAUCUUUAUCAUUUUAUUCAAGUUUUAUUAAUGAUGAAAGAUUGUCUAAAUACCAACAAGAUCCACAACUCCCUGGUUGCUAGAUACUUGGCAUCAUCCCUGGUAUAGUACCUAUGAGGUCCAUUACAGAGAGGCAGAAUGUAUGAGGUUGGAAAUGGAAGAGCUUCUGUACUCUUAUGGUGUAGAUAUAGUGUUCAAUGGACAUGUAAGUAACGAUAACCACCAAUGAUUGUCACAAUCUUUGAUAGGUAACAGGUUUCUUUCUUAUAGCCAGAAACUAUGUGGAAGAAGUGGUAUAAGGGUUCUUCGAUUGAGGCUUUCUUUCAUACCAGUAACCAGAUAGUGAUAGAAAGCUAGAAGGAACUGCAGUUUACGCUUUAAACUUUUGAGAAAACAAAUUUAAUAUGAAAUUAAUUGGUACUUGGUUCCCUUAUUGCUAAAACACAUAACACAAACUUAUUUGAAACGCUAUCAGAAACAAUGACCUUAUCUUGAAACUCGUAUCACAGCAGUACCAUUUGGUUCCGAUCCCAAGCAUGAUUUUAUUAAGUUGUCCUUAGUGUCUAUGAAUGAUGACAAUUUUCCUCAUUGUAACUAAAUAUCUUUUCGCUUUAAAGUGCACUGAAUGUUCUUCUGUUUUCUUGAAUAAAACAAUAGGUUCAUGCCUACGAGCGAUCGAAUCGAGUUUAUGAUUACAACUUAGAUCCCUGUGGUCCUGUAUAUCUCACCGUUGGUGACGGGGGUAAUCGGGAGAAGAUGGCAGUUCAACAUGCUGACGAACCUGGUCGUUGCCCAGAGCCAUCAACUACUCCUGAUCAACACCUAGGUGAUGGUGCCUUUUGUGCAGAGAACUUUACCUCCGGCCCAACAGCAGGUAAAUUUUGUUGGGAUCGGCAACCGGAUUACAGUGCUUUCAGAGAAAACAGCUUUGGCCAUGGGAUCCUUGAGGUACUCCUUUUUCUGUGUUUCUGUUUGGCAAAUAUUCAGUCUGACAAUGCAUUCAAUUGUCUAGAAACGUUAUACUUUAAUUUGUAUGACCCUACACUACAUAUGAUACAACUUGAAAAUGAUUGAUGGAAAGAUGAGCAUGUGCUUGACUGUCAAUGUGCAUAGAAAGACCACACAUGGGUAAAUGUUAUGGAACCAGUUUAAAUCAUUUUUACCAUUCCACUGCAAUGUCAAGAGAAAAUCACUUAGCACCAAUAUCUGUUUAUACAGAGUGCGAAAAUCCUGUGACUGACUUGAAUACCCUUGAUCGGUUAUUGAGUAGCAAACAUAUAGAUGUAGGCUAGUAGGCUACCUGGAUUAUACACUAAGCGUGCAUUUUGAUGUGCAUAACUUGCAGGUGAAGAAUGAGACUUGGGCUUUGUGGACAUGGUACCGGAACCAGGACUCCGACAAUAAAAUUGGAGAUCAAAUUUAUAUAGUGAGGCAGCCUGAUAAAUGCCGCAUCCGCCAUUUGUUCGAAAGUUGGCUUGCUGACCUCUAAUUCUCACUGCUGCUUGCUGGGAAAAAUUUAUUAUUAAGAUCCCAAAUCAAUUGACCAUUCUUAUCUAGAUAGGAAUAGGAUGGAAGGUUGCAGAAAGAGUAGGAAGAUGGGGUUUCACCUAUGUAUACACACUAUAUAUAAGUGGAGGGGGUUUGGGGGGGUGGGGGGUGGGGGAGGGGGCGGGGAGAGAGAGAGAGAGAGCACAGAAGAAGAGCAACUCCGCUGUUGUUGUAUGUAAAUGAUAAAAUCUCGUUUAUACGUCUCCUUUGUAACUUGAAUAUAUACUCUCUCAACCAAUUUAUACAACAACAAACGUGUAAGAUUGGUUCCUGGAGCAAUUUCGGAUAUUGAAUUCUAAACUAAUUGCGUAUUUUGUUGAGUUAUCAAAAAUUUCCCCUCCCCUUAUUGUGAAGCCGAGAAAUUGUUGGAAGUGACUUUUAUACUGUCACAUGGUGUUACCAGUUCACUGAUGUUAUGGUGGUACUGCUUAAAAGGGUGGCGUUUCGACAAAAUCCUUAGCUCGCGAGCUCACAAUGCACCCCGUCCAUAAGUCAUUCGGAGUUUGGACGGAACGAUGAGGUUCGCUACUACCUCCGUACAAAAAACCUUCAACAACUUCCCGUUCAUUGUAUUCUCCAUUAAAUUCCAGGCCAGGGGUUCCACCUCCAUCUCAUAGAGAUUAUCAUCACCUGUUGUUUCUGUGAAUAAUGUAAAUUUCUUACCAAAACAUUUGUAAUAUUGUGCCAAUUAUAUUAUAUAUUUGCAGGAUGCAUAGCAAUUUGGUGUCAGUAAAACUUUGUCUGCCGCAUAUUUGAUCAUGUUUUAACUUCGGAAUUUCAUGGUCUUGUUAAUUUUGACGGAUUUUGAAAGGCUUUUAAAACAAAUUAGAAUCAAACUUUCGAAUUUACUACCCCAAACAAAUUGCACUGCAAAUUACCAUAAUCAGAAUUCAUCAGGUCAUGUACGUACUACAUAACAUUUACUUAGGAUAUGAAAUGGUGAGAUCGAUAAAUUCGAAAUCAUCAUUAUAUUGUUGUUCUUAUUACAUUAAUAUAGAUAUAUGUAGCCACUAUAUAUACCUAUUAGAGUGAAUACGAUACCAAUGCCCCACAAUUUGUUGUCCUGACACAAUCGACCGGAUUCGCUGCGUUGUAGUCAAAACAGAUGACGACUUCCUGCAGAUACGCGAUCCCCCCGUCCUUCUUGCACAUAAGAAGAGGUGUUUUCCCUCCUAUAGUCCGUCGAAUGGCCGAUUCAAGGUCGAUGUAAUGAUAUUGAUAUCCUGGUACAAUCCCAGUUGUUUGAGAAAAUAGAUGUUGUGCAUUGUAGGUCAACCAUAAUCUAUGAGCUUCGUGGAAGUAUUGUGUCUGGGAAAAUUUAUUGUCCGAGCACCUGCCGUGCUUGUUGUACUCAUGCGCCCAGAAAUCCAUAUUUGUCCGUCUAUUGUUGAAGCUGGGCCAGGAAUUGGACAAAAGUAAUUGCAGAUUAUGAUCAGCAAUCAUCUGAAGCACAAAGACGAGAAGUUACAAGCAUUUCAGAGAGCUGCAGGAGAAAAAAACAAACUGAAAUGAGUAUAUAUAUUCAAUGUGUACCUGAUUUCUGUUGAAUAGGGUGCCAGCGCAGAGUAUAGGUGCAGAUGGAUCGGUAAAGUUGCUCGGCCAGAGGCCGUGUGUCGUAAAGGUAUGCCGUAGAACUUGUUGGUUUCCACAAAUUCCAUUCCCAAGGCAGAAGACGUAUUGGAAGAUAUCAUAUGGUGUGGCAGCAUUGCUCUUUCCGACAUAAGUGACGAAGCAAAGAGCGAUGACAACGAGAACAUGUUGUGCGGAAGCGUCAAAUGUGAAACCAAUAAACUACAACGGCAAAAUAUGAUAAACUACAAUGGCAAAAUAUGAUAAGACAAAUAAUCUAAAUAACACAAGGAUUUAUACUGGUUCGGCGUAAGCCUACGUCCAGUUCCGAGACGGCGAGGAAAUUCCACUAAUAUCAAAAGGAGAUUACAAAUAGAGUUCAACACUCAAACCCAAAUCCCACAUACACCCAAUAGCUUUCACUCAUAUAAAGAACAAAUAGAGAAGAAGAAACACAUACCAAAUCCUUCUCUCCCAAAAGCCACAAAAUGUAGCAAUAUAUCUUUGAAUGAAUGAUUGCACAAAUGGAGAACAGUAAAACAGCAGCACUCAAUUUUCUUCUCUAUCGGCUGCUCUCUGUUUUCUGCUAUAUGCUGCCGCUGAGUUUCUGCUCUCUUUUUUCUGCUAUCUGCUGCCGCUGAGUUUCUGCUCUCUUUACUGACCAAAAGGCAUGAAUUGCCUUAUAUAAGGCUGGUGCCUUUUAAUUAAACCCUAGCUGCCAUGUGGCUUUCAAAUGGGUAACAAAAGGCCAAACCUAUUUGGGUUUGAGACAAAAAACUAAAGGCCCAAGAAGUAUUGAGCCACAAAAUCCAACAGAACAAUCUUGAAGAAGUGCAUGGUUGUCAAGCAAUUAUCAAAAGAACAAAGGGAGGGAGGGAGGAUGGGAUGAGAAAUAACAAGGAAAGCUAAAGAGUGAAUGAAGUGUGAAUUUUCAAAGAAAUGAAGAGGUGUUUAAAUAGUUAGAGUUGAGGUUAAGGGUAGGGUUUGGAGAAAUUAAUUAAGGUGAAGCUAACUAGCAAAGAUGAUAAUAAUUAAGGUCAAGUAAGUGUGAACAGAUCCUGAACUAGGGAAUGCCUCUUUCUUGUUAUGCAAGGCUUUGCAUUCUCAUAUGCAUGCUAUAAAGGGUGGUAACCGUGUAGUGGUUGAUUCAUCAACAACCCAAUCAACCCAAUUAUAGCGGUUCCUCAUAUAUCAGAUUCAGACCCCAAGCAAGCUAAUAGUCUCAAUUUUUAGAUUAUAAUUCUAUUUGAGAAAGCCAUUCAGGACCACGCUAGCUAAAUAUGGUUCCAAUCGAAUAUAAACAGAAACGAUUUGGACAUUGUUUAUGUAUCUUAUCUUGUAAAUUGAAGUUUCAACCACUACCUUCUAGCAGUGGUAAUUCUUAUCUUUGAAAUUUUGGAGCUCUCCUCUCCUCUUCAUGGUUUCUAUUCAACUUACUUAUCCCGGUUGCAGAUAAUUAAUUAACUUGUGGAUUAAGUAAAUAGCUAUUUCAAUUUGCUGCUACUCACCCUGGAGCUAGCCUUCGGACCGGGGAAAUCAUAUUGUCCUAUAGACACCCGCUUCGUCGCUGCAAGGCGACACCGCAGGGUGGAUAUCUGCGGGUACUCAUCAUUUCAUUUCAUGGUUGUAUUGCUUCACAUUUGCAGAUUGUUAACACAACAUGCCUUCUGUUUAGUUAAUUCAUUAAUCAAACAUGAUCAAAUAUACAACAUACAAAUUGUUAGAAUUGAGGUCAAGUGUAGAGUGUAGAGAAAGAUUAAGUUGAAGCUAGCUAGCAAAGGUGAUAAUAAUUAAGGUCAAGUGAGUGUGAACACAUUCGGAAUUAGGGAAUGCAUCUUUCUUGUUGCCCACGGCAAUGCGUUCUCAUGCUAUAAAGGGUAGUAACUGUGUAGUGGACGAUUCAUCAUCAACCCAAUUAUAUAAAGUGGUUCAUCAUAUAUCAGAUUCAAACCCUAAGCUAGCUAGUAGUCCAAAUUUUAGAUUAUAAUUCUGUUUCAAAAAUCCAUUCAGGACAACGCUAGCUAAACAUGGUUCCGAACGAAAAAAUACAGAAACGAUUUAGGCAUUGCUUGCGUAUCUCAUCUUGUAAAAACGUACAACUUACAAUACACUUAAUUUCGAACAUUGUUUGAGUAUCUCAUCUUCUUCGUUGAAAGGCAACACCGCAGGGUGGAUAUCUGCGGGUAGCCAUCAUUUCGUUUCUUGGUUGUAUUGCUUCAUAUACUCGUAAAUUUUUAUCGACUCCAAGUUUCUUAAAGACAUCCAUAAUUUGAACAACAAAAGGAUUUCAUUACUUUCGAUAUCUACGUACACAUGUACUUGUUGUUGCCUUCCGUGACCGAAACCAUACUCUUCACAUAUACAACGGGCGAAUGAUUUGCUUUGCACAGUGGCAAAUAAUACGGUUGCGGAGGAAAAAUGGGAUUGAUCCUUACAGCACUUUGAAUGGGAAGAUUUUUAAGCUUCUUAGUACGGAAGUUAUAGCAGACUAUGCCUCCAUUUUCCUCUACUGUAAGAACCUCUUCGCUUUUCCACAUUGGCAAGCCUCCAUUUCCCUCUACUGUAAGAACCUCGUCGCUUUUCCACAUUGCCAAUGUGGAGUACAGGGGCAAGAGGGACCUUGAGAAUGAUGGGAUCUUGGCAGCAAAGUGUUUUGUCCAAACACCACCCGCAUUUUUCGGACCACCACCAGAAUCAUCAUCCAUUAGCCACAUUUCAAAGGGUGGUGUAUCACCAUCUUCAAAGGUAUUACAAUUCAAGCGAAAGAGAGCGAUGGAUUCAUUCCACACCUUAAGACGCAUUUCAAUACCAAAUCCUUCGAAAUUGUUGAACUCUACCAUCUCAUGUGGUAACAGUAUGUCAUGAAACACCUCACGACUCAUGUCAAACCAAACGAUCACUCGCCUAAUUUUUUUCUUGCUCGGGAUAGGUGACAUCAUAGCUAUCGGCAAAUUCCUUUUGUUGCUCACUUCCUAUCCAAUAACACAUCCCCUUGAAGUACACCUGAAAAGUUUC
rnacentral:lncRNA from 1 species